UUUUUUUUCUUUUUUGGUAGGUCGGUUAUCAAAAUCCUCUGCAAUAUUAAGUUCACUGUUGUCAUCUAUUUUCUACAGUCACAACCAAAAUAAAUGGCAAACCUCCAACUGUCACAAACACUGUCGCAAGAAUCAGUUUAAACAGAGAUAAGAUACAAAACGGCAACCACUAUCGCAGGAAUCAGUUUAAACAGAAGUAAGAUACAAAACGGCAACCAUGGUGAUCAUUCCAUGAAAAUCUCAUACAUAUUCGUUGUACAAUAAAAAAAUAAAGGCUGAGGUUUAAAUUGAGAACCGGGACUAAUUGGUUCAUAAUUUAUGCAUGUCCCCAACAUGAAUACUACUGCCUUUAACAUAAGAUUCCCGAUGAUACUGAUUUUUUUCAUCUGAAUAAUGAUUUACAACCUAAUAUUUUACACACUGCACAAAGCACUCACUUCCGAAACAGAACAUAAGAUUGGACAUACUUACAGUAAGCAUUCCACACCAUGCACAUAUAACAGAAGCCAUUAUGUACACAGAAGGAAAGCGAGAGAAAGAUAAGCUACUUGGUCUCCCAAACCCUGAUGUUACCAUCUAUGAAUAGUGUCUCAGACAUUACGUACCUGUGGUGUACCCAUCGUUGGCGAUAUUGGAUGGCUCGACGGAUAUUUUUCUACNNNNNNNNNNNNNNNNNNNNNNNNNNNNNNNNNNNNNNNNNNNNNNNNNNNNNNNNNNNNNNNNNNNNNNNNNNNNNNNNNNNNNNNNNNNNNNNNNNNNGAGGUGCAGGAGUCUUGUACUGUUGUUGCUGAUAGUUAGGCCUUGCUGGGGCUGUCUGCCACGGAUGAGCCUUAUGGUUGCUGGAACCACCAUUACCCAUCAGCCUGCAAUUGCCAGUAUCAUCCAUAGCAUGGUGCUUGUCUUCAAGCAUGAGAUCCUUAUUCACCAGAUAACAGAAGGUCCGCAGUCACAGACAACAAGCUGAUAUUGUAGCGACUACUGAAGCCCUUCCAUGAAGCGUUCUACCUUGGCGGCUUUAGUUCUGACAUCAUCAGGCUCAUACCUCGACAAGACGUUAAACUUCCGCAGGUACUCCUUGACUGUGUUGCUGCCUUGCUUCAGUGCACAGAACUCCCACUUCUUGAUAGUCAUCAUUCCAGGGGGAAUGUGAGCAGCGUGGAACUCAUCCUUGAAGGCAGCCCAAGUGAUAACCUGCGCGCCUUGCAGGAUUUUGAACCCAUCCCACCAAGUCCUAGUACUGCCUUCGAGAUAGUGAGAAGCAUAGAGAACCUUUUCACGGUCGUCGGUGCACUUAACCAGCGCGAGGACGUCUUCUAUGGUGUGGAUCCAGUCAUCGGCAUCCAGGGGCUCAGUUAUCUCAGUGAAUAUUGGAGGCGUAGUCCUCAUGAACUCUGACAGAAUGGAGCGACCAUUGCCAUUUUCGCCCUUCGGCGGGUUGUUCACUAAGCCUUGAGCUAUCUACUAGAUAGCGGCGUUGUUGGCUUGGAGUUCCUCUCGGAGAGCCUGGAGGAAUUGAGCCACAGUCAGGUUCUCUGGAGGAGGCGGUGGCUGUGGAAUAUCGCCUUGGGGCUGCUCCUGGUGAACUCCAGCUUCGGCAAACCCACCGGCUCCUCGUAGCUGGCUAGAUUCAUGAGUACUGGGUUGGACGAAGGUACUCGUUCGAGUAGCAUUCACCAUACCGUUUGGAGCAGUCAGGUCAAUAUCCCAAAAUGGUCGAGAGAAAAGCAUCAAGGGGAAACGUGCCUACAUAAGGGGGUUUUGGUAUGGUGUGCGUGUGUCAAACUAGAAGCGUCGAAAAAUCCUAAGAAUUUGCAUUAAUUGUGAUAAAUGAUGUAGCCGCUUACAUGUUGCCUUGGCAAAAAGCAUGGCUUGCAAUGAGACACAAACAGAAAAGCACACAACAAGCACACAUGGUUUCAUAUGAACCAUUACACGGACUCGACUUUGCAUGGGUAAUCGUAGCUUGCCCUAAGACAUCCAUUCUACGUGGCGGAGUACUCGAUCUCAUACUUGCGCUCCUCAGGGUCUUCCUUUGUGUCAUCAUCUGUGAGGUCAUCACCUCCCGCCAAGGGCGUGGGGGGAAGAAGAAGUCCAUCUCGACGACGCUUCAUGGGAGAAGCGGUGAGGAGUUGUGUAUACUCCUCAAUGAUCAUGCGGCGACUCCGAAUAGGGGUGACCUUAUGUGGUGGUAUUCCUCCUCUGUAUAUGACAACAGGCUAUCCUCCGAGUGCUCCUUCCUUCUUGACCUUGCUUAUCUUCAUCUUUUCUUGGCGGAGUAGCUCUUGGACAUGAUAGUGUUCUUGACGAAGCCACGCUGACUCCUUGACUAGGUUGCGAACCAGGCUGUCGGCAGAGAGGCUGAAGUAGGUUUGGAACCUGAGUAGCAUCCCUUCCUCCGGAGUGGGUUUAGCAUCCAACUCCCGUCAGCCUCGUCCUUAACAAAAGGCAGGUGGUAGGUAGCUGCCUCAUUGGCCAUCUCUAGAAGGAAGUCGCGGAUGUGAACGAGUGCUUCUUGUGCUGCCGUCUCAACUGCCAACACCCGAGUCACCAUCUGUGGCCCUUUAAAGAACCAACUAGUUGGAGAGUCAUUUGCCUUCACAAUCACAUCCACAUUAUAUUCUUUUGUGCUGGCAUUUACCCAGUGCUUGUGUUAGAGAUAAACGGAAGUUCGGCAUAUUUGACACUUCUCCAAGCUAUACCCUAGAAGUAGGGGAAAGCUAGUUUCCAGGAGUGUCUCAGGCACGACGCCAUCUACAAGGUUUUAGGAGAGGUGUCAGAAAGAUGUGAAUGGUAUAGAAUGGUUGCAAGGGUGUAUAAAACCCCAAGUGUAAUGACUGAGUGUGCUAUUCAUUCUAGCUAACGUCCGUCCUAUCUAAGGCUUCCGACAGUCGGGACGGCUCUGGUACCAGCUCUGUGGGGACCCCGACUUCUGGGUCGAGAUCACUGAAUGAAUGUGUACAGUGAUCCCAGAGAUCAAUGCUCACUGAACACACAAAUACAUAAUAAUAAGAGUCUUACAUCCAUAAAUAACGUCUGAUAUAGAUAAUGACCAUUAUGGUCAAGUCAAACAUAGAUAGGGCCAUGAAGGCCAAACACACCAACUCAACUACUAGCAGAAAUCUUGGUAGUAAACGUGAACCCGUGGCAUCAUCCUUAACCAGCAGGCAUUCUGAUCGGGAAGCGUCCUAGUUCACGUGUCCAUAUCCGACGACAAAUUCUUCUCCAUAUUCUAGUUCCUCCAUGUCUGGUCAAUAACAUAACCAGUGGCAAGCCAAUGAGUACUUUGAAUGUACUCGCAAACAGCCCAUGAUGCGAAUUAUGUAAUUGAAUGCAAUAUGAAGUAUAAUGCAGCUUUGGCGGAAAGCAUGUUUUAUUAAUGCAUAAACAUGGUCAUGUAUUUAGAUGGUCAUGCAUCACUAGGUAAAUAGUAACCAUGAGAACAGGUUACAAAUAUCAACACAAAUAUUACGAGGGCUGAACAUCUCAUGUUCACCCUUCAUGUCAAGUCACCAGACUUGACCCAAGUAUUCCUUCCUCAUGAAACACCUUUCCACACACACUUGGUUUAUGCAGCAACAACUAGAUGUAGUUUAUGUAACAGCACCCAACUGUGCUUGACCGUGGACACGGCUAUUCGGAUAGUUUUACACUCUAUAGAGGUUGUGCGAUGUACCCACGAGAUCCGGGAAACUUUUGUGUCAUCCACGACUCAUGGUAUAUAACAUACCCGAGGUAAGUACCAAAUCAAUGCCUUUCCCCCGAUGACACUAGACAAAGAGUCCACUCGAUUGGUACCCAGCACACAUGAUGUACGUCUUAAGAACACCAACUCUUGACCGUAUCAUCCUUGUAGGGAUCAACAGUGUGCGCGGAACACGUAAAAACGGCAUAGUCGUCCUACCUGGCACGACCCCAUCAUGGGAGUGACCAUAUCACUCCUGCCACUAGUAAUGCGGGCUCUGUGCUAGCACCGACCAGUGUAAUCAACAAAGACCCGUCCCAUAAAAGGGUCUCGUGGCCGCACAUGUAAGGUUUGGAUGGUCGACAAAUCUUAAAUCUAAUCCCAUUUCCAAAACCACUCACACAAUACCUUUCCUGGUACACCACUUCAUUCUCAAGUGGUCAUCCAUCUCAUCACAAUCACCCUCAAUGUCGGGGGGAUAACCCUGCGGUAGGCUCAUCAAGCCUACUCCUUUGCCUUCCGCCAAGAAGGAACAACAAGAACCAUUAUGUAAAGACCAAGUCCCCGUGGCCAGCUAGGAAGCACAUGCCAUCUCGGGGCGAGGCGGCCAACUCUCUGCCCGGCCAGGAAGCUCCUGUCGGCUAGAGGCCAAAUGACUACCUCUCCCUGGCCGCCUAGGCCAAGCCAGCCGGCUAGGGGCAAGGCGGCCGUGCCCAGGAUGGCUAGACAAGCAGGCUAGCCGGCUGGGGAUCACAACUCACAUCAGACUGUAGGUCAUGAAGAGACCCUAUGGUUAAAUGUGGCUACGCGUCAGCAAAGGCACCGGACCGGGGUGUACGGGAGGUACAAGCGUCGGCGGCCACGCCGCUGAGCUCCUCCGGCUCCAAUCCAUCACCCUGCACAGUGUCGGCCCAUCAAACUCCCACUCCAUUACUGCACUCGGCGUGAGAACAGUGGAGACGGCCAUACUGCCUGCCCAUGACGAUCCUCGCUGGACGACGCCGGACGUACCACAUGUGUCCUGCAUCAACCUUACGCAAGAGCCUUAUUGGCUAGCCGGUGGGUCCAACGGCCAGACGGGAGCUCGCAGCCGGCGGGCCCUUCUAGCAGCAAGACAAGAUCCCAUGGGCCCCCUGGCCAGGCGGUGAGACUGCUAGCCGGGUCCCACUCUUAUACCUUAUAUCCAUAUUGUAGGUCAAUGGGUUCAUCUAUAAAACCCCCCGCCCCUCCAUGCAGAGGGUCUGUCAACUCAGCACACACACCAUCCACAUAGGAGAGGCAGACGCGAGCCGGCAGCUCCUUCUUCCUCCUCCGCAAUACAGCUCCAGUUGCACUUUGUAGUCCCAUUCAUACAUCAUACACUCCGGCAGGAUUAGGGGUGUUAUCUCUACGCAGAGCCCUGACCCUGGGUACAUCGUGCGUUCCAUGCUUGUACCAUCCUCGUUCCCAGCACCCUCCGGUGCCACUUCGGUUCCCACCAUCCUUAGUCUACCCAUGGCUUGUGUUGUGAGUAAACACCGACAUUUGGCGCCCACCAUUGGGACCUCCGCGGCAUCGGCUGGCUUCACGCGCUGGGUGGGGCCCUGCUCUUACACCCCCGGAUACAUCGCGUCCAGAACGAUCUGGAUGCCUGUGGACCCUGCCUUCGAUGAGGCUUCACCGAUGAUGAUCGAUGUCCCAGUCCGUCAUGUGGAGUCCAACGAUGAGUCACUCCCCAGCAUUGUCAUUGCGGCUAUGGAGAACCUCAGCGUUCUCUUUAGCGAUCUGCGUCUCGGUGACAGUCCUCGCUAUCCUGGCGAGGACUUCGAUGUCGAGGCAUUAUGCUCUAGCUUCAGUAGGCUCUCUAUCGCUGAGACGCCUAUGUUCGACGUGUACCCCAACAACGUACUCGUCUUUGACGGUCCUCCGUCUUCUAUGGGGCUCUUUACCCCAUUUCAUGUCGCUACCAUCUCCAACGUCGUGGAGGUGAUGGUCAUCGGCGCUGGCACCAGCACAUCUCAUGGCAACGCGUCAGCAGACGUUUGUGAGCCUCCUGCUGUCACCGCUGACUCUCUUCAGGCCGCGCUUACCCGCUUGAAGACGCCCAUCUCCACCUCCACAAACCCCACCGACGCACGGGCCUGUCUGGAGGAGGAUCGCAGGAAGAUCUUGGAGGAGGGCAUUGCCAUCACCGCGGCUAAACGCCGGAUGGAGGCCACGCAACGCAAGUACAACUCUGCCUACGGGUUCACUCCGGUUUCCGAGGCCCCUAGCCGGCUUGGCUCGGUCCGUGGCCGCGGGCGGGACAUUGCCGAGAUUCUUGGCGGCAAGCAACCCAUCUACGAGACUCGUGCGACCAACUUACGAGCGGCCCAGGCGGCCAUGGCAGAAAUGCCAAGUUCGGAGGGCGAGGAGCGCGCCUUCCAGGAGAAGCGGGUCAAGGAUUUCCUUGACGCCGCCAACGAGCAGCAGACAUGGCUUAACCCCGGUCAAGCUCAUUCGGAGUCUCCGGGACCCAAUCUCGGAGCUCGCCGUAACCCCAGCGGUCAUCAACAAGCCGAAGGGUCUUCCUUGCAUCGCACUUCUGUCCGGAAGGGCGAGGGCAGCCGCGACACGCGUUCUCAGCGCUAGAGCGAGCAUACUUAGAGCCGGUGUCACAGGGAUGAUGAGAGUGAUUCGGUAUAUGAGGUUCCUCGUCCUGGGAGGACCCAUGCUACCGGCUCACAAGGCGCCCUUCCGAUCGCGGCUCGGAUUGGCGCUCGCGUCCCACGGUCCGCUACGUGCCACUCAUGCUUCGGCCCCCGGAUCCGAGGGGAGCUGUUUCCCCAAGGCUUCACUCUGCCUCGGGAAACUCCCAAGUACAACGGCACCGCCAAGCCAGAAGACUAGCUGAUCGAUUACACCACCGCCAUUGGCAUUGCCUGGGGCAACAAGCGCGUAGCCGUCCGCUACGUGCUACUCAUGCUGGCCGGCUCGGCUCGGACAUGGCUUAACAACCUUCUAGCCGGCAGCGACAACUCGUGGGUCGACUUCGAGGAGGCGUUCGUCCGCAACUUCACUGGCACCUACAAGCGCCCUGGCCGGCCUCGCGAGCUGGCCAUGUGCGUCCAGAGGCCCGACGAACCCCUUCACGACUACGUCACGCGCUGGAUAGAGCUUCGCAACUCCUGUGAGGGAGUGCAUGAGGUAUAGGCCAUCCAGUACUUCAUCGACGGCUACCGAGACGACACUCUCCUCAAGCACAAGCUCAUGUGCUCUGAGCCCACCUCUCUGGCGGUGCUCAUGGCCAAGGCGGAUAAGUACGACAGGACCGACUCAGCAAUGCGGGUCAAGGUGACCUUCUCGGACAAAGUUGUCCACAUGACAACAACUCCCAAGCUGGUUGGUGACAAUCGAGGCGGCCAGAACAACAACAAGCGCAAGGCGGAUGUCGGGACCCCGAUCCUAAGCCAUAGGAAUCCAGCCUGUAACACAUCGCAUCUCUUUGCGGUCUCACGCACGGUUAUCCCCACGGCUGCAGCCUUACCUUAGCCGGGUCCGUUUUCGCCUUUUAACUCAGUAUGCAAUUGUGUCGCUAGAAAUCCAAUGACAAAGAACCCGGAUCGACAUGUCUAGUCAUAAACCAAAGCGGCAGUUCCGUACAGGGACAGGCAUACAUGACCCAGCAAAGCAGGUGUCGAUCACGAGCGAAUGUAGACGAGUCGUAGCAAGCUACAAGGACUCCAUUACAUCGCGUGACAUUUCCUCAAAGGGAUAGACACAGCAUCUAAGAAGGACACAUGCGGGUCAACCAAUGUGUCCGGAGCAGUAGUGAACUACCAUGGCUCGUUGGAAUCACAAAGGGGCAUUUCCCUGUAAGGAGUGCUACUAAAGCCUACGGAUAGGUAUUCGAACCCCAUACAUAUCAAGUACAACAUACGUACGUGAAAGGACGUGGAUGUCGCCUAGAGGGGGGAGGGGUGAAUAGGCGCUUUAAAAUAAUUACGGUUUAGGCUUGAACAAAUGCGGAAUAAAAUUAACGUUUUGUUUGUCAAGCACAAAACCUACAACAACUAGGCUCACCUAUGUGCACCAACAACUUAUGCUAAGCAAGAUAAACAACUAAGUGAUAGCAAGAUAUAUGACAAUAAACAAUAUGGCUAUCACAAAGUAUAGGGCAUAAGUAAAGGGUUCGGGUAAGAGAUAACCGAGGCACGCGGAGACGAUGAUGUAUCCCGAAGUUCACACCCUUGCGGAUGCUAAUCUCCGUUGGAGCGGUGUGGAGGCACAAUGCUCCCCAAGAUGCCACUAAGGCCAUCGUAAUCUCCUCACGCUCUCGCACAAUGCAAGAUGCCGUGAUUCCACUAAGGGGCCCUUGAGGGCGGUCACCAAACCCGUACAAAUGGCAAACCUUGGGGGCGGUCACCGAUACCCGUACAUAUUGCUCGGGGCAAUCUCCACAACCUAAUUGGAGACCCCGACGCUUGCCCGGAGAUUUACACCACAAUGAUUGAGCUCCGAGACACCACCAAGUUUCUAGGACGCCAAAGCAUCCACGAAGAACAAUAUCUAGGGUACUAAGUACCAAAGGUAAUAAGCUUCUCAAACUUCACUUCCACGUAUCACCGUGGAGAACUCAAACGAUGCUACUAAUGCAAUGGCAAGGGCACACGGAGUGCCCAAGUCCUUCUCUCCCAAAUCCCACCAAAGCAACUAAUGCUAGGGAGGAAAAUGAGAGGAAGAACGAAGAAGAACACGAAGAACUCCAAGAACUAGACCCAAGGGGUUCCCCUCACUUAGAGGAGAAAGUGAUUGGUGGAAAUGUGGAUCUAGAUCUCCUCUCUCUUUUCCCUCAAGAACUAGCAAGAAUCAUUGGAGGGAUUGAGUGUUAGCAAGCUCGAAGAAGGUCAACAAUGGGGGAAGAACACGAGCUAAAGAGAUAAGGUUCAAUGGGGAAGAAGACCCCCUUUUAAAGGUGGGGAAAAAUACAACCGUUAGGCCUCACAGCCCGCACAGAGCGGUACUACUGCUCGGUAGGUUCACCAACCAUGCUGAGGCCAAAAAGUAUGCAAAAAACAGCCCGAAGGAGCGGUACUACCGCUCCUGGAGCGGUACUACCACUAGGGAGCGGUCGUAAAAAAUUACUACCGCUCCGGGGGCGGUACUACCGCUCGAGGAGCGGUACUACCGCUGGAUACUGAAACUGCUGUAACUUUCGCAUACGGACUCCGAAUUCAACGAAACCAAGUUUGUUGGAAAGCUAACGACAUGGGCUAACAAAAUAUUGAUAGAAAUAUCAACAAGAAGCAAGAGAGGAAAGUCCCAUAAGAAAAUGGUGAGAACCCUUCUUUGAAUAAGACCGGUAGAAAAUCCCAACAUCGAAAAUAUCAUAGAACAUGCAUAUGGACUCCGUUUUUGAUGAACUCAAGCUUGUCAUGAAGAUGAACAUAAGAUCUAAAACUCACAAAGAGAAACACCAAACAAAAACCAAGAAGUAUGAUGCAAGGAUGCAAAUGGUUUGAGCUCUCAAUGAACGAUACGAUCAAGCUACUCACUUGAGAGCCCCCCUUGAUAGUACGACAAUCUAUCCUAAAACAGAAAACCUAUCAAGGGCAAACCUAUACCUUGCACCUCGUCCUAUUGAGAUAGAUGACGAUGAUCCUGGCUUCCUCAAGAUGGACCACCUUUCUUGAUUGCGUUGGCUUGAUGAAGACUAGUUGAUUGCUCCCCCAUACACACUAUGGCUGAGCCGCUCUUCAGCAUAUCUUCACAAGUCCAUUGCCACCACAAUGGACGGCAAGCAUCAAGCAUGAUAUAUUCGUGCUGAUCCACUUGAACUUGCACACCGCAAUCUUGAUGACGAUCACCACUUGACGUCAUCCUUCAUGGGUUGUAUGAGAUCUUCCUUUUGACGCAAGCCCAUGGAAGCACACCUAACCCCCACACAGAACUCUCACAAAGACCAUGGGUUAGUACACAAACACGUAAUGGACAAUGCUUACCAUACCGUGGGAUCACUUGAUCCCUCUCAGUACAUCUUGUACGCUUUGUGUGUUGAUCAUCUUGAAUUACUCUUUGUGUGAGAUCUUGAUCAACCUUGUGUCUCUAUGACCAUUCUUUGGAUAGUACCUUGAAUACCAUCUUGGUCAUCAUAUAAACUCCUUGAACCCAACAGAUGGACUUCAAGAAGUGUCUAUGGACAAAUCCUAUAAAUAUAACUUAAGACAACCAUUAGUCCAUAGGAAUUGUCAUCGAUUACCAAAACCACAUAUGGAGAUAUAUGCUCUAACAGUACGCAUGGCAUACCGAUAUGUAUAGAUACAUCGAUGGCAUCACAACAUAACCACAAACAUACAAACUUUAUUUAGAAGGCUCGGAAGAGCCACACACAUAAUAUUACAAGGUAGGGGUCUCAAAACCCAUCAUCACAAGUCAUACACACAAUUCUUACAAGCCAGCGGAAGAGUAAAACUGUCUAAGUACAGACAGAUGGAAAGAUAAAGGCACAUGGCCUGACUAUCUACAGACCCAUCCUAGGGCCAGAACGUAGCUGGGAUACCAGCUACUCGUCGUCGUCGAUGUCUAGGUAGAACCCUCCAUUAGGGUCAUUAACAACCUAUGCAACAAUAUAUUUAGCAAACGUUAGUACAAAAGUACUCAGCAAGACUUUAGGAAAUCUAUCUACUCUUGCAAUGUAUCAAUAAGGAGUUGUGGGGUUUCAUGCGGAAAGCCAGCAGUUGACUCUUGGCUAGACAACUUACAUUUUAAAAUAGUUUUGACAACUUUGAUUUCUCACACACGUGUCCACUAACACCAGAACAAUACUCCAUCAUGGAAUCAUUUCGUAUCCCUACGGAAAUGCCGUACACGACACUCACGCUUAUCUUGACAAUUUUAUGAGUAGCCAUUAUAGUUAUAUAUGAACAACAUAUGUUUCCAAGUAGUCCAUAUCCGCGGACGCGGCUAUUCGAAUAGAUCAUAACCCUGCAGGGGUGUAGUUCUUCACACACGUCUCACCACUUAUCGCCAUGUGCACGUAAUGCACCUCGGCAACCUCCAAGGGAGUCGGCCACGACCGUUAACCACGCUAAUACUUAGUCCAGGUCUAUCGCCUAUCUGAGGGUAACCCGCACGGAAGUCCGGCCGAGGUUUCCGCCACGGCCCCAAAGGAUGUGCGCAGGGUUCCCAAGUCCACCAUCCGGGUGCCACUUGUACACCGUGCCACUGCCUACCGCAUCAUAGCCCACCUCUAAGGUCAGCGCUACACACGGCCUCCAGCAUGACUAUAAACACGAGAAACUACUUGCAACUCCUGGACCGAGUACUAAGCGAUUAAUAAGACGAGCGGGGUCAUAUUUCAGGGCCCAGCAUGUGGUAGUAUCUCGUCUUGGAUUACAUACACGCAACUCAGUUCCUAAGGACGGUUCCAAUGAAACAACCCGCCAUGUACUCCUACACAACCUUUCACCGGUACCUUUACCAAAUCAGGUUCAACACACAACCUUUACUUACUGACAUCGUUCCCACAAUUCUGUUCAUCACCCAGAUGACAGACCAUACACAACUUAAGCAUAGCAUGCAUAGCAGGACAAGGCACAUCAUGGCUCAAGCAUCUACCAGGUAUGCUAGGUUGCAAGGUUCAGCUAUUUACUGUGACAAGGACAGGUCAUGCAAAGGUAGUGGGUUCUACUAACGUGGUAAAAGCAGUGAAAUCAUUUUGACCUAAUGCAAGAAACAAGAGCAGGAGCGAGAACAUGGGAUUUAUCGGGAUGAUCAAAAUGGUUGCUUUCCUUGUUGCUGAGAAGAGGGACAAUAUCCGUCAGUCGAAUAUUCGGUGGAAUCCGGAGGAGUGGGGCCUACCCGUAAAACAACAUCAAUCAAUAACAUUCAUAUGCAACAAGAUGAUGCAUGAGCAUGGCAUGAAAAUGAAAGGUGGUAGGCUAAUGUAGCUAUCUUUUCUUUAGUUCGAGUUUGAUUUGAAUCAAGAUUCAAAUAUCACUUCAAACAAGGUAUUUUUUCGAAUACCCUUUUAAUUGAUUCGACCUGAUGCUGAGGUAAUCUUGUUUUAGCAUGCAUGAGGAUGGUAUGUUGGGGUGCUGGUUGUGCUUGAUCAUGGUUUGGUCAUAAUAUUUGAAGUGGAAUUCAAAUGGAUUUCAAAUUCCAACUCCAAAUUAUUUAAUAAGGUUAUCCUAUUCAUCAUUUUAUCUGUUUGGUGAUGUUAACAUUUUCAAACAUGUUUGUAAAUAUCAAAAUCAGAUUCCUUGGAUUUUUUUGAUCAUUUUUCAUAUAUAAAUUAUUUUCAUUGGAGUUACAGACUAUUUUCUAUGAUUUUUAGAAGUUUUGGGCAUUUUCUGGAAUUCUUUUAAAAAAAAGAAUUUCUUUAUUGCGUCAGAUCUACGUCAGCACUGCGUCAGCAGGUCAGCCGACCUGGUCAGGUCAAACCUGACAGGUGGGGGCCACUGUUCAGCGACACAGGAGAUAAUCCCGCGCUGACCAGCCCCUAUGUGGGUUUGACCCACUGCUAGGGCCCACUGUCAUUGUCUAAUUAGCACUAAAUAACACGGAUUAGGCCGGCCACGUUGUCCCCUGCCGGAGACUGACUGGCGGCGAGCAGAUCCACGGCGGAUCUUCGCCGGAGAAACACCAGAGCUUGCUGUGGUGCUCGGAAUCGAGUGCUGAAAGCACUGGGAUGAUCCCCAGGCUCGACCUCAUCCACUACGGGCAUCCUGAGGGACUGAGGGUGGCCGGAGGACGCCGGCGAGGAGCCGAGGCGGCUGCCGGAGCUCGGGUUCGUCGGUCUGGUUGCUAGAGUGCAAGAAAACAAGGGGAAACGCGCGCAAGCUCACGGUGGAGACGAUGGAAGGCUCAGACGGCUCGGGGAGGUGCUGUAGCCGGCGAUCCAACGUCGAUUUGCCGGUGGCCGGAGGUUGAAGACGACGGCACUGGGGCGUUGUAGAGCUCAGGGAGGUCGAUUCCUUUCGCGUGCGCGUCGAGCUCGAUGAGGCGGAGAAGAUGGAGUUCUCGGGGAGGCUUCCCUGUGGCGAGAGAGGUCGGCUGGCUCGAGCUCAAGCUCCUGCUAAUGGCGGCAGGGAGAGGAGAGGAGAAAACUGAGAGGAGGGGGAAGAAUGGAGAGCAAGAGAGGAUAAGGGAGCGCUCGGGGAACUCAUCCCGGUUGUCACGCUGUCCUGGGGGCACCGGGGAGCGCCACGGCGAAGCAGGAGGUCGAGGGGAGCCGCCGUGGUCGAUCUAUCCUCUGCCAGAAGGCAGAGGAAGAGGACGACCCUGCCCCUGUGGGCCGGGCCUCUACACGUGAGCGUAGGAUAGGGUUUUUUUCCUUUUUCUUCUAUUUCUGUUUGCUGUUUUAUUUGCUCAUAUUAAUUGCUAUUUAUUUUGGCUUCAAGAAGCAAUUCAAAAAUUAGUUUGAAUAGCCCUGAGUGUUAGUUGGAAUAUUCCCAACUACUCCUGUAGUUUUCAACAUUUUUGAAAACUUGAAUGUUUUUGAAUUCAAAUUUAAGUCUGAAUUCAGGGGCUUUCUGAAUUUAAAUAAAAUGCCAAGGGUGUUUUAAAAACAGUUUUCUCCCUUCAUAAUUUGUUUUCAAUAUUUAUCAGAAAAGAUGAACUUUUCUUGAGGCCGUUUUGGGUUCAUUGAUUUUGGCAAGUUUUAAUUUCCUUUGAAUUAAGAAGUGGCGAGGGUUUUUGGGUUGUGUUUCACCACUUCCUUUGGGUUUGUUUCAAUUACUUGGAUGCAAUGAAAGAAAACAUGAGCACAAGUUACUAAACCCUAACAAGGAUUAGGGAUGUGGCAACUCACCCCCACUCAAAAGAAUCUCGCCCCGAGAUUUGGAAGUCGUCGGGAAUAGAACGGGAUACUCAAGUCGGAGACGAUCCUCUCUUUCCCAUGUUGCCUCCUUUUCGGAAUGAUUUGACCAUUGAACUUUAAGAAACUUUAGGUUUCGACGUCGAGUCGUACGCUCAGCUUGAUCAAGAAUACGCACAUGGUAUUCUCGGUAUGAAAGGUUAUCUUCGAGAUCAAGCGUUUCGUGGUCCACUUCACGGUAGGAUCCGAAAAGCAACGCCUGAGUUGCGAGACGUGGAAAACAUCAUGAACCUUGGAAAGAUGCGGAGGAAGUUCCAAUUGGUAGGCAACUUCUCCUCGUUUGGCGAGAAUGCGAAAAGGACCAAUGUAAUGAGGAGCCAACUUGCCCUUGAUACCGAAUCGAUGGGUACCCUUCAAAGGUGUAACCCGAAGGUAAGCCUUCUCAUCAAGUUCAAAGGUCACAUCCUUAUGAUGACGAUCAUAUUGGCUCUUUUGACGAGACUGGGCUGUUUUCAACUUUUCACGAAUAAUGCGAACCUGCUCUUCUGCAUCCUGGAUCAUAUCUGGGCCAAAGAGUUGCCUCUCUCCGGUUUUUGAUCAAUUAAGAGGUGUUCGACAUCCUCGUCCAUAGAGAACUUCAAAAGGAGCUUUGCCCAAGCUUGAUUGAUAACUAUUGUUAUAGGCAAAUUCGGCGAAUGGAAGGCACUUCUCCCAAUUCAUACCGAACGUUAUAACACAAGCUCAGAACAUAUCUUCUAGGAUUUGAUUCACUCUUUCUACUUGACCACUUGAUUGAGGAUGGAAAGCAGUGCUAAAAGAUAAGUGAGUCCCAUAGCAUUUUGAAAACUCUCCCAGAACCGAGAAGUAGAGAUACUUCCACGGUCUGAGUUAAUCUCUAGAGGAACACCAUGAAGAGAAUAAGAAGAGAGAGAAGCAAAGAAGAAAAAUUCAAGACAAAAUAAAAGAAGGCUUAUGGUCGAAAUGGGUGUCGGUUUAUGGGCGUUCUCCAAGGCCUCGAGCUCCCGCACCUUGCUCGCUUAGGCUGCGCAGGAGAUCUCUUCCUGAAGUGUCGCGACCGUCUCCAGCGCCUUGGGAAACUGCGCCUGCUUCUAGAUCAGGGCUACCUCGUUAUCCUUCAGGGCAGCAUCCUUAAGCUUCAUCUCUUCAAGAUGAGCCGUCCUGAGGCGCUCCACGUCGGCAGCAUGGGAGGCGUCCUUCUCGUGCAGUGUGGCGCGCAGCUGGUCCUGCUCAGCCUGGCGGGCUGCCUCGCGAUCCUUCUUCUCCGUCUGGAGAAGAGUCAGCUGCUGCUGGAACCGCUCGCCCGCAUCGUGCAAUACGUCUCGCUCCGAGACGGCCACACCCAGCCGGCCCUGAAGAUCAGCAACUUGGCCAUCGGCCGCGUGGGUUUGAGCCCGCAGCAUAUUGUAUGCCUGCACUAGGGCGUCAUGAAGAUCCUACACGCAAAAGCAAAAGGGAAUAAGAUUCGGCUCGCCUAAUUCAUAGUCGACACGAUUCUUGGGGGCUACACCCAGUGGGUGUGCUAGCGCGCCCCCACUAAAAAGCAAAGACAUGGCACAAAGAGAUUCAGCCUGGCAAACGCUUGGCCAGCCCGAUUCUCGGGGGCUACACCCAGUGGGUGCGCUGGCACGCCCCCACUGAUUCAAGAGAAGAAAAAAUCAAAACCAAGACGAGCAAGACGAGAAGGAUAAAGCCUUCACCCUGGUGCGCUCCUCCAAGCGCUCCAGAUCGUUGUUGGCCACCCUGGCCGCUUGCCGCAAUUUGUACCGACUGCUAGCAAACAUCACGACCAGCUUCGUGACACUGCUGAUUACGACGCUUGGGGUCAACGUCAGGUGCUCGGCGUUGGCCACGUGCCAAGUCUUCAUGGGCCGACUCCUAGAGCUGCAGCUGGCUCCUGGAGCAGAUGGACCACGAUUGGUCACGAUGAUGGCACCAGCUUCACGUGGCUAGUUGGUGGCCGGCUCCAUCGACGCCCCAACCGGCGUCGUCUCCGCAGCAGGGGGUGGGUCGGCCGCGUCCGGCGCGUCCAGGGCCAUCUCUGGCGCCUCCAGGUCCAGCUCCGGCGCGUCGGCCGCCGCCUCGGCCUCCGGUGUGUCGGGGAUCACCUCAAGGUCCACAGGCGCGGAGGCGUCCGGCUCAGACGGCUUGGCUGCCUUGGCCCUCUGGGUACCCCUCGGGGCCGUCUCGCUAGCUCGCUCCUCCACGUGAGCACACGUGGAGGGGUCAUGUCUAGCCUUCGUACGAUUCUCCCUGGGCUUCUCAGCCCGACGGGGCUGAGAUUGUCCUACGGCCAUUUUCUUCGCCGCCUCCUCCGAGCAAUGGGCAGGCUGAUCGUCAAGGGCCUUCUGGGCCGCCUCAGGUGCUGCCCAGCCAGCCCGUUUGGCGUCGGAGGCAGUUUCUUGCUCCACGUCUUCUGGGUCCCUGCAAGGCAUGAUUUCAGGAGCCCAUCCUUAUUCAACAAAACUAAAAGAGGGCAGUAAAGGAUCCUUACCCCACCAUGACGGGCACCUGUUUCCUGAGGGCGCCGGCUCGACGCUUCUUGGCGCCGCCUGCUCACCCUCCAACAGGAGGCCCAAGCGCGACGCGUUUGGAGGCCGGCUUGGAAGCUACGGCACCCUUGCCCUUGUUCCUGGCCGCCUCGCCAGGCGCGGCCGUCUUGCUGGCAUGACGGCGGCCUCGGGUCAUUGGAGGGCUGGUGACUUCCUCCACCUCUUCGGCACCCUCCCCAAAGGCUGCAUCAUAUGAAGAUGGUGGCGUCUCGUCAUCGUCCGUCCAAUCAACAAUGGGAGGCCACAGGUGCUCACCAGACGACUCAAAGCCUUCCGACUCCAGCGCCUCCUCCGAGAUGGCGUCCCGAGUCUCGAUCAUCCCCUCAUAUUCAAUCUCCAAGGGGUCCGACGUCUCCAUGUCUGGAGCCGGUGGGGUGAGCUCUUGCAGCUUCUCAAACAGCUGGAUCAACAACAGUUCGCAGCCGGCUUAAACAAGAAGAAACAACAGUUUCAAAACACGAAGCAAAUACCCGAUCCAUAGGACACUUACCAUUGGGGGAGGAUGGUGUCCUAUCGUAAGGGACCAGCCCCCACCCCCAGUCUCUUCCUUCAUCCAUGUUGGUGGAGGAGAUCUGGUGCACGUUCUUUGCCAUUGCUCCAGGGUGGAAAUUCUUGGUGGAGAGCAGGCAAGGAUCGUCCCGGCCACUCAUCUGACAUAUCAAAUGAGGCCAUAUCUGCAGAGGUAGGACUCGGCACGUCAUCAUGGUGGUAAGAAAGUCACGGCCCACGAGGCCGCGGUUCUUCAAGCUGUCGAGGUAGGCGCCUAUCUGCGCCACCUCGUGCUUGGGGAACUUGGCUUGCCAGUUCUUCUUCGCCAUCGGAGGCUCGAUGGCGAAGGGGGGCAUGUUGAGGGCGUCGCUGGUGGGGCUGGCAUUCUUCACAUAGAAGAAGCCCCUCUGCCAUUGCUUGAUGGAGUCUUGGAGCGGCAUCUAGGGGAAGCCACACUCCAUACGGUGAUGCACCAGUGUCGCGCCGCAUGGGGUCAUCGGGCGAGGGCCGUCGAGCUUCUCCAACUCGUCCUUGUCCAUCUUCCUGGACUGCUGCUUGAAGAAGAACAAGCUCUGCCAGAGAUCGAGGCAGGGCUUGAUCCCCAGGAACCCCUCGCACGGGACGACGAACGAGGCAUGCUGUAGGAUGGCGUUCGGCGCCAGAUGAUGCGGCUGUAAGCCGAAGAAGGAGAGGAAGUUGUUGAAGAAGGCGCUCGCCGGGAGACCGAAGCCUCGGUAGAAGUGUUCAUCGAACAAGACUACCUCUCCCUCCAGCGGCUUCGGAGCAUUCUCGGUUUCGGGGAUCCGCAUGGCCACAAGGGAGGCUAGAGGCAGCAUUUGGCGAUGGGGGAGCGCGUCGAUGUGCUCGACGCAGAUGUCGCUUCCGAGCGAGGCACCGUUGUGCUGUCCCUUCUUGGAAGAGCUGCUCGAUAUGGCGGCGAGCGGCGAGAACUCGAAGGGACAACAGCAGUCUGCGCGGCGGUGAUGACAAAGAAGAAGACGAAGUCUCUCUCUUUGGGCUCACGGAGGAGGAAGCGCAAAUGUGGUGUGAGAAGGGGGCGAAUAGCCUCCUCAGUACCCCUGCACCCCAUUUAAACCCCAUGAAGGAUCGUGGGGAGGGGAUCCGGUGUGCACCGGUCCCAUUACCACCAAUUAUUACGGAGGCUUUUAUGAUUCCCGAAACCCAACCGUCGCGGAGUAAAUCCGCGGAGGAUCCUCCGCGUGAGGGCCGAGGGGGCGUCAUGGCAGGACCCAGGGCUCAGGCCCCGUCCCGUCAAACUGAACAAACCAUCAUCAUGUCAGGCUAGGCCUGGCACGUGGCGCGAUCUGCGCCCUACGACGAAGCUGAGGCGUUGCUAGGAAGCCAGCCAACUUCCGAGCCAGUGUCCUCUGCCGCAGGCGGCGACAAGAGUUCGACAAACAACUUAAGCCGGCGAGGCCGCCCGCUCCAAAGCGGCGGGCCGACCCAGCUUCGGGGACUACUGUCGGGGGGAUAACCCCGGGGUAGGCUCAUCGAGCCUACUCCUUUGCCUUCGGCCAAGAAGGAACAACAAGAACCAUUCUGUAAAGACCAAGUCCACCUGGACGGCUAGGAAGCACCUACCGACUAGGGGUGAGGCGGCCAACUUUCUGGCCGGCCAGCAAGCACCUGCCGUCUAGAGGCCAAACGGCUACCUCUCCCUGGCCGCUUAGGCCAAGCCAGCCGGCUAGGGGCGUGGCGGCCGUGCCUAGGCCGGCUAGUCAAGCAGGCUAGCCGGCUGGGGAUCGCAAGUCACAUCAGACUGUAGGUCAUGACGAGACCCUGCGGUUAAAUGUGGCUACGCAUCAGCAAAGGUACUGGAUCAGGGUGCACGGCAGGUACAAGCGUCGGCGGCCACGCCGCUCACCUCCUCCGGCUCCGAUCCGUCACCCGGCAUAGUGUCGACCCAUCAAACUCCCACUCCAUUACUGCACUCAGUGUGGGAACAGUGGAGACGGCCGUACUGCCUGCCCAUGAAGAUCCUCACAGGACGCCGCGGACGUACCACACGUGUUCUGUGUCAACCUUACGCAAGAGCCUUAUUGGCUAGCCGUCGGGUCCCACAGCCAUAUGGGACCUCGCAGCCGGCGGGCCCUUCCAAUGACAAGACAUGACCAGAUGGCCCCCCUGGCCAGCCGGCGAGGCUGCCAGCCGGGUCCCACUCUUGUACCUUUUAUCCAUAGUAUAGGUCGGUGGGUUCGUCUAUAACACCCCCCGGCCCCCUCCAUGCAGAGGGUCGGUCAACUCAGCACACACACCAACAAAACAGGAGAGGAAGACGCGAGCCGGCAUCUCCAUCUUCCUCCUCCGCAAUACAGCUCCAGGAGCACUUUGUAGUCCUAUUCAUACGUCACACACUCCGACAGGAUUAGGGGUGUUAUCUCUAUGGAGAGCCCUGAACCUCGGUACAUCGUGCGUUCCAUGCUUGUACCAUCCUCGUUCACAGCGCCCUCCGGUGCCACUUCGGUUCCCACCAUCUUUAGCCUACCCAUGGCUUAUGUUGUGAGUAAACACCGACACUCGCGCAUUAGUGGCACCCGAUAGGGUUUUCGAGAAACCUUUGAUAUCACCUUUUGUGUUACCAUCACCAUGCAUAUUCUCAUCCCAUGCGUAGCACUAUUGUCUACUUGUCAACUUUUUAUCAGCGUGACCCUCAUAGACGGUAAGGUCAUGCUAAAAUUCAAGUGCUCCCGUGGAGCCAUCGGAAACACCAUAUCGAGGUUUACCAAUGUAUCAUGAUCUUAUGCAUCGGAAUGAAAUAAUCAAAUAUUUUCUCAGGCAUGGUCAAAGGGUUGCUUGCCUUGAUCAGCUAGGUAUCCUCGGUCUUCGAGGUCUUCGGGUCCAAGUAUUUCGUUAAACGCGUGAUCUAUCGUUGUAAUAGAUAUAAUAAUAAUAAGGACCACAACCUAAAACAACGUAAAAACUCACAUAAAAAAUGUUACCCAAUUCUGAAAAAUCCUAUUAUUAUUUAUCAAAAUAUUUGUUUCUGGUUUUGGAAUGAAUAAGUGUUUUUAAAGUCUUUUUAAGAGGAGUUAAAAAUACUUAAACUAGGUUUUAAAAUAAACCUGUGCAUAAAAGUUUUCAUAAAAAUUCCACAAACAUUAUUGUUAAAUACUACAUGAUUUUACAACAAUUAUGGUGGAAAAUUAUUUAAGUUCGGAUAAGGAAUUAAUUAUGUGGAUUUAUUUUUAAAAUCCAGAUUUAAAAUAACGGAAAAAGGGCCGACUUAUUGUCCAGGCUCGACGAGCAGCUCGGCCGACCUAGCUGGCUAACCGGUUAGCCAGCCAGCCCAGGCGCGCGCGCGUCGUAAGGUUCAAACCUGACGGACGGGUCCCUACAACUAGCGACAGAGAGGAGAGAGAGGGAGAGAGAUGUCGCACACACAUGGGGUCCUCCUAUCGGGGUCAUCUUCUACCUCUAGAUAGAGGAGAGGGGCAGCUCACCGGCGGCAACUCCGUGGUUCUCAAGGUCAGGUGUGCACGGGAAUGGACUCGUGGCAUUGCUGGCUACCAAAUGAGGGUCAAGGGGAUGAUGGAGGUGGCCUGAGUCGCCGCCGAUUGGGGAGAAGGAAGGGGAGUGGUGGAGAAGGCUCGGGAGGUCUAUGCGGUCACAGGGGGAGUGAAAGGAGCUUUGGAGCGUGCGUGUAGGCCGAUAUCGAUGGAGCCCCGAUGCGGCGGUGCCUCAGUCGUUAUUGAGUACCGGGGUUCUCUUAGCUCAAGGGGGUGCUCGGGGUGGUCGAUUGCAGUGGAGAGGGAGGUUCUGGUGGUGCGGAGGAGUGCGGGGGAGCCUUUAAAUAGGCAGGCGAAGAUUCACCGAAUGGUGAUGCAUCGGUGAUUUUGCGUUGGCGACAGGAGAGGGAGAGAGAGCUCGGAGGCAAAACCGUGGUAUUGCGGACAUGGUUUAGGACCGCGCAGCUUCUCCAGGAGGAGCGAGGGCAGUCUCUUGGUGAGUUUAGGUGGCGGGGUUCUUCUCACCACUUCGGCCGAGAGCGUGCAUGCGUAGCAUGGGGCAGAGGAGAGGGGAAAAAGAGGGGGCCAAUGCUGCCCUGGACUCAGUUAUUGGUGUGGUCAAAGAGGUGCAACGAGUGGGGGCAGGAACUAGUCGACACUGGACCCCUUGGGCUUGGGUGCACUGUGUAACACGUCCAGAGCGUAGCUUUGGCAUGCCACGGCAUGCUGGCACGCUCUGGCGCGUCUUUUCCGUGUCUGGGGUGUCUGGGAGAUGGGUAGAUGCUCCUUGGAUGCUAGGAACCGAUAGGAAUCAAGCUGGCUAAGGGGAGAGAUGUAAGGUGGUGCUGUCAGUCUUGAUUCAGGAGCUAAAAUGGAGAUUUUGGCUGCCUCCCAUUGAAUCCUUGCUGGGCCUCUCGUCUGCAGUUGUGGGGGGCACAUGCAAUCUAUGUCAAGAGUUUGGAGCAAAGGGACUAAGUGUGGAGGGUGCUAGAUGCUGAUUUUCAAAUCUGGCAGAAGGUGUUUGAUGCAUGUUUGGGGAAUUUAACCUCCUCCAAAUGCAUUGAGAGUUAACAAGAUUUGGUCUUGGAUAUAAUUAGUUGGCUCUUCCAAAUUUGAGAUCCAUUGGACAAGUUUGGCAAUGUAAACUUGAAAAUUCCCACAAAUGGGCACAUCUGCAUUCUUGUGAGAAUAUGUGAACAAAUCAAUUCCCACAAAUCCAAUUCAUGGCACGAUCUACUUAUUUGGGGUAUUGAGCACUCGUGCAAAGUUUGAGACCACAUUGACAAACUUGGUAAUGUAGAGUAGCUCCAACUUGAUUCAGGACAGGAUGGGUUUCUGAAUUAUUUGGUAAAUCAAAUCACCUUGGUUGGAGGUGAAUCUUGGCACGAUCACCAAAUAUAGCAUGUGGGAUAUGCUAGAAUUUUCUAGGAAUUAAUUGAGAAUAUUUCCUUUACAAAUAUUCCAAAAGGUAAAAACAGACAGACUAGGGGUUGAAACUUUUAUGUAUGGAAAAUAUAUGUCCUCUGAGUAUGCCCAAAUUUUCUCAGAUUUUUCUAAGGUAGAAAAUAAUUUUUGACCCGGAAAUAUCAUUUCUAGCUUUAGAAAAGGACAUGUAAAUAAAAUAUAAAAAUAACUUUAAAAACAAAUAUUUUAUGGUUUUGAAGAGUUUUAUUAAUAUUAGAAUCAAAAUACAAUCUUUGGGUGAAGGCACUCCCUUAAAUUCAUGGGCUUGUAGUGCAAACCCCAAAGCAUGGUUUUGGUUUACUAAAAUAAUUAAAAAGGAUUUUUAUGGAAAUAAUAUUUUAUAAAAACUGUUUUUAGGGAUCUACUCACAAGAACACAUACAAACAAUGACAAUCAAGAAACUCAUAGCAUUUUAUUAAAAAGGUUUUAAUUUAUACCAUUUUUUGAAAAGAGACACUAAAGACAAAGUGAUGUGAAAACAGGGUGUGACAGAGUCGUUCCCCGACUUUAAAAUGCCACCUCGGGCCUCCCUCUACCUCCCAUCGACCUCCUGCUACUCCUAAUCACACUCCUAAACCACCCACUCCUUUCUAGAGGCUCCCGAGCUCGAGAUCGAGCUCCGGAUCCACCGCAUCCAGAUUCCGACAAUCCGCGGGUACAAGGCUGCUUUGACCCUCCUUUCUUCCCCAUUAAAACCACGACGGCUUCCUGAUGCUUCACCCCCUCUUUCGUAUUCUUUUUCUGCAGGAUCCGACCCUCGCGAUCACCCUCCCGAAGCACCUCCGCCAUGGGACGUUGCCGCCGGCGACUCGCUGCACCUCAAAUUCUCCCUCCACCACCCAUAGAACAGCCAGACGACGCUGGUUUUAUUUCCAUCAUCACCGAGCCUAGGCGUGCCCCAUCUCGCCACCGGUGAGCUCGCCCUCUCUCCUUUCGGGAGGUUGAAGAUGACUCCAAUUGGGCCCCGCAUGUCAUCCUCCUCUCCCCCUCCCUCUUUCGCUGACAGCUGGGGUGUCAGCUGAAGGCGUAUAACUCCUUUGCGCCUUCGACGUGAUCGCCUGGCAUGGGCUGAUUUCCCUCUAGGCCGGCUUUGUCGAGCCGGUUUGGACCAUGGGGAAUAGUGGACUUUUUUUUAUUUCAUUUCCAAAAUCUUUCAAAAAUUCCGUGAGAUUAAAUAAUUAUCCAAAUUCAAAUAUUCCUCCACCAAAAUCUUGUAAUAUUGUGUAGUAUUAUAGGGUGCCACUGGUGUAAUUUUUACAAUUGGUUGCAUGCACUGUUUUAUUUCAAAACCCGGUUUAGAGAACUUUAACAUUCUGUUAAAAUAGUUUCUACAACUUUUUACAGUCUGGAAAUAAAAUCCAAUAAUUUUUGCAGAACCUAUACUCAUCUUAGUAUUUAACAAAAAUGGUGUGACUUUUCUUAGUAGAUUAUUGUCUCUGUUUGUGGUUGAGUGCUUAUUUUUGCCCGUCGAUAUUGUGAUGGUAGAUUGCAUUGCUGACGAAGGACUUGGACCACAAGACUUUGAAGACCCGAGAGACUUUUUUGAGCAAGGCAAGAAGCCCCUUGAUCAUUUCUAAGAGAAUACUUUCAUGCAUUAUAUAUUUAGCAUUUUAUUCUGAUGGAUAAUACCAUCUUGAAUCGGUAACUACCUCGGUGGGAUGGUUCCGGUAGUUCCUCGUCGACACUUGUACUUGGACAUAGCCCUACCUACCUAUGAGAGUUGUGCGGGUGGUGUGUAGUUAGGUUGCUUGUAGUGCUACGCAUAGGAUUGAGUACAUGCAUGGUGACUCCAAAGGAUGAUUAUUUCAAAAGUUUUACGAAAACCCUGUUGGGUGCCACUAAUGCUGAAGGGAGAUGUGUUGAGCUAGGUAGCUACUUGAUAAAGGAGUGGUGUACCGAGGCCAGUUGUGUGAGUGGUUUCUAAAAACAUGAUUAGAUUUAAGAUUUGACGACCUUACCAAUCUUACAUGUACAACCACGACAACCCUUAUGGGACGGUGCUUUGCUGAUUACUAUGGACGGUGCUAGUAGAGAGCCCUCAUUACUAGUGGCGGGAGUGAUGUGGUCACUCCGAAGAUGGGGUUGUGCCCAGAAAUGACGACCAUGGAUUCUUUAACACACACCGGGCGCACCCUUGCAUGCCCUCGUGGAUGAUACACGUGAUGCACAUCACGAGGGAUUCCCACCAAUAAGUGCUCUCUUUGCUAGUACCGUCAUGGGAAAGGUGAUGUUCGGGUACUUACCUCGGGCAUUAGAAAUGCAGCGAGUCGUGUCUUGACAUGGAAGUUUCCCCAGUCUUGUGGGUAAAGUGUGCAACCUCACGAGAGUGUAAAAUUAUUGGAGCAGCCAUGUCCAUAGUCAAGGACAGUUCUGUGGUGCUGCUUAAACUAUGUGCAGAAGUUUUCACAUAAACCAAGUGUGUGUGGGGGGAUUGUGGAAGUAUGAAUGUUGCUAAGUAACAUGACUUGGAAUGAAGAGUGAACAUGGAUUGUUCAGCCCUCAGUUUAUAUUGAAAUACGUAACCUGUUCGCACGGUUAUCACUUACUUUAUGAUGCAUUGUCAUGGCCUAGUUUAACCUUGCUUGCAUUUUUAUUUUCUUUUGAUAUUGAAAUGAGCAAGUGAUCAAGCCUCAGAAACCAAAUUUUGUCAAAUAAGCAAUAUAAAAAUUGCCUCAAAAUGUUCCUGGUUUCCUAAUAAAAUAUUGGCAUGAGAUAAAAUUCAUAUCAAUUUUUUUGGGUUCAUACAAACAUUUUAUUAUGGGCUUUUGAAUUAAUUCAAACCCUAUUUGCACCGGAUAUAUAUUUUCAAUAUAUAAACUAUAUGUCCAACAACUCUAAGAUUUAUCUUGUGGCUUUGGAAAAAAUCCAUUUAAAACUACAUAUAAAUUUUUAGGAGUUUAAGAAAUGGUUCCAUAUUAUUUUGGACCAAAACAAAUAUCAUAAAACAGACAAUAGAAAAGAAAAUAGAAAAAUAAAAACCUACCUGGCUUACCUCGCCGAGGAGAGAAGCCGACCCAGGUCAUCAGUGGCAAGGGUUCUUCUUCUUCCGCGUGCGAGGAGGACAAACAAGUGCGUCGCAAGCACCGAUGGUGCCUAGCCACCUCCUGCUUGACCCGAGCCACGUCCACGAAUGGGAUAGACCCCGCGGAGCCAUCCACAUCUCGCUGACUCAUCCCCUCUUCCCCUGCACUCACUUUCUCUCUUCUCCUCUGUGUCUCACGCACAACCGAGCACCAUUGAGAGCGCGCUGCUGUCGCCGCCGCAACCACCGGCCACUGCUCGCUUCCUCGUGCUGUCCAGAAGAACCGCCGCAUCACCCUUGUCCACUACGCCAAGCGAAUCAAAGUCGGAAGCCCUCCAUCGUCUCCAUAGUCGCCGAUUUCACUGUCGGACACCGAAGCUCGCCGUUGUCGAUUCGCGAGCCCCCAAGCACCUCCGACCUCACCAUCACCUCCAUCGGAAUCGUCGUGAGCUGCAGUGUCGUUCCCCCUCUCGCUCGUCCUUCCUAUGUCCCCUAGCUAGCCCCCUUGAUGGAGGAGAGAGGUGCUCGCCGCCGACCAUGACACAGUCAUGCCCAUAACAACGGCAGCCCACUUCUGAGCACGGAAACAUGCUCUACACCUCGCGAGCUCGCCGUAGCUCCCUCCAGCUCCUCCUCCCAUGCUCCCUAGCCUCGAGCCCGUGCUGACCCGAGCUCUGACCGCCGCAUAGUUCGCCGUUGGCGCCUGCUCUGGCUACCCCAGCUCCUCCUACUACCCCUGCUGGAUGAGGUGCUCCUCCAGCUCGUCAUAGCCGUAGACCGCAUGCCAAAUGAUGCCCUCUAGCAUCGAUUCGGAGAACUCCGGCGAGCCACCACCGCGGGUUUGGUUGCCACCGGCCACACUGCGAUCGGCACUUAUGUGGCUGGACACUUAGUGCUAAUUGCACUGCCUUAGUCACUGACAGUGUGCCCCAGAGGUGGGUGAAACCCCGAGUCAGCGCGGGUUAAGCGGGAUUAAACCAGGGUGACUGACUAGUGGACCCCACUAGUUAGGUUUGACCUGGACCGGGUGUGUUUGGCCGCUAACACAAUGCUGAAGCAAUUAGUCCCAUUCUAAAUUAAAUUAAACCAGGAAAUUCCAGAUAAUAACCGUGAAAAAUCAGAGAAAAUAAUAUGUAACUCACAUUUAAAUAAUUUAUGUAUGAAAAAUUAUCAUAAAAAUUCAAGAAAUUUGAUGGUACCAUCUUCAUGCAUGUUUCAACAACUUAUACACACCGUUGAGGACAAUUUCACUAAAUGCAUUUAAAUUCAUAUAAAUGGGUUUGAAAAUUGAUCUAUAUUGAUCAAAUACCUUCCAUUUAACUUGUGAUCACUUGCAUUACCCAAAACCAGCAACAUGUGAACAUGCCAUGCUCAUGCAUCAUUGUGAAGCAUUUUUCAUGCUUAAUUUAUUCCUUGUUUGAUCUUGUCAAUAGACUUGCGAGACAUAGUUAUCAACGGCAUUGAAGAAGAGCUCAGUUCUUCUGAUCACAAGGAAAGCAAGCCCCCCUUGAGCAUUCCGAUACAAUCCAACUCUCUCGCUCUUGCUCCCAUUUCAAUGCAUUGGGAUAAGAUGAUUCAACUGCUACUUGUGUUACGAUAGAUGAGCCCAUUCCUUUGCAUGAUCUGUCAUUGUCAUAGUAAAUAGCUAAACCAAGUAACCUAGCAUACCUGGUAGAUGAUUGAGCCAUGUUGUGCCAUUACCCUGUUAUGUUUUCUAUGCUUAGAGUUGAGUUGGUCUGAUCAUCUGGAUGAUGAGUUGGAAUGAACAUGUCCUAUUGAUGAGAGUUAAGCAUGUGAACCUGUUUUGGUAAACGUAGCGAUGAGAGGCCAUGUAGGAGUACAUGGUGGGUUGUCUCGUUGACAGCGCACUUAGGACCUGAUAUUUGUUAUGGUGUUCCAAGACUAGCUACUACCCAUAUUGGGUUCCGGUAACUCAACCCCUCUCGGCCUAUUAACUACUCUGUUCUCAGUCCUGGAGACAUAGUAGUUCAAAACAUUCACAGGUGGUGACACGACAUGUGAAGUGGAUGAACAGCCCAAUGGGGCCCUGUUCCUAUCGUUUGAGGCCAUGUUUUAAACCUCGGCCGGACUUCCAUUAUGGGUUCAAACUCAGAUAGGUGACCACCUUGGACGUGAGUCAUUGUAAGUUAACGUUUGUGGCCGACUCCCUCGUUGUGCUUCAGCUUGAAGGUUUCCGAGGUGCAUGAUGUGCAACAUGGCUGUAAGUCGUGGGAGCAUGUGUGGCAAAGUACACCCGUGCAUGGUAACUAUCUAUUCGAAUAGCUACGUCCUCGAAUAUGGACUACUUGGAUACUUGCAUGGUUCAUAGACUACUUUAAUGGGUAGUCUAAAAUUUUCUAGAUAAAUAUGAGUGAUAUGGAUGGCCUUCUCGUAGGAUGACGAGAGAGGAUCCAUGGUGGUGUAUUUAUAAGGUGGACAUGCGGACUCAUGUGCGCUUUCUCGCCGCGAGACGAGAGAGUUAUGAUACAAUUUCAUAGUCUAGGUCAGCCAAAGGUCAAAGCUGGCAUUUCUGAGUAAACCCCACAAUCUCGUUCAUCGAUACAUGAUGAAUAAGUAGUUAGUUCUGAUAUAAGCCUUGCUGAGUAACUUCAUACUCACUAUUGCUUAUUUACAUUUUUGCACAGAUAGACAUUGUUUCCUUCACAUUUCCCUUUUGAUGUUGACAUCGACGGAUUACCUUGGUAACCCAGAUAGUGGUCUCGCUCCUAUGGUAGGGUCAUUGUAGCUUUUCCAGCUCUUCUACCUGUUUUAGUAGACGUCUAUAGCCACACAUGUAACUUCCGCUCGUUGUUUGUAUGCUUUGAAUGUUGGGUCAUGUGACCCCCCUGCUUGUAACAUUAUACUAUGUUGGCUCUUCGGAGCCUUCUAAAUAAAUGAUGUGUUGUGGACUUAUGUUGUGAUGCCAUGUUGUAUCUGCACAUAUCGUGCAUAUUGUGUAUAUGUUUGAAAUGCAUUGGUCUGUGUAGGAUUCUGCAGCUCGUUGUGUGCCUAUGGUAGCCUGCGCUAUAGGAAAAUGCCUCUUUGUGCUUUCAUUGAGCCUUGGUAGCUUGCGACUCUUCCGGACACACAUAUUACCGGCAUGUAUCCUUCUUUGCUGUUGUGUUCGUCCCUAGAGGGAAAUGUCAUGCGGUGUAGUGGAGUCCAUGUAGUUUGCUACAACUCAUCUACACAUGCUGAUGACCGACGAAUGCAUUGCCGAGUUAUGGAUGCCUGUACCUAUAUGGUUGUGCCACUUGGGUUUAUAACUAGUCAUGUCGACCCUGGUUUUGUGACAUAUGAUUCCUAGUGACAUAGUAAUAUACGUGAGCCAAAAGAUGCAAAUGGUCUCGGCCAAGGUAAGGUGGCAGCUGUGGUGAUUACCGUAUGUGAGGCCACAAAGUGAUAUGAUGUGUUACAAGCUAGAAUUGUAUGGCUUAGGAUCGGGUCCCGACAACGUUCGUAUUAGAGCUUGGAUGUUUGUAGGAUUACCAACCGAAACUGGUCGAUGGUGAGUCCAGUAAUUCUUUAGUUAUAUAAGGGAAUUGAUUGUGGAAGGGAACAUAAUAUUAUUUGUACUCCUUUCCUUGAGUCACUCUAUUCUGAGUCACCCUCUUCUCUUCUAUGGGGGUUAAGGACUAGGUUUCUCACCUAUCUACUAGGAUCACGAGUUAUGUGAUCCGUAGGCUUAUAGGAUGUCUCUUGUGUCUCAAUCCUAUACCCAUCAGAGUCGUGAGAUGUGAUACUAUGUUCUUGUUGCAUCUUGAAUCCAUGAUGUUGAGUUGUUAUGAUGCUCAAAUUUCUUGCAUGUUGCCUCAUAUUUCAUGCCGGUACAGCCGUUUAUGCUGUCGGAGUUAUCCUAGGUUUUCAUAAGUUUCAGUGUUCUUCCUUGAUUCAGAACCCUAGUUGUUUCCUUCAGGAUGUUGUCAGUAAUCCGGAGUUCUGUUGGCCAUGAUCAGAACCAUGGAGAUGGUAGAGUUGAAGAAGAUCCGGCCGCCCUUCCUUUGUUGGUGGAGGUUAGGCUAGAAAUUGAGAGGAACAAGCAUGCCACCAACCAUUAUUUUGGGCAUAUCGAGCAGAAUACAACCCAUCAGUGCAAUGAGCUAGUAUCGACUAGACACUUCAUCAAAUUGAAUCCUCCGACCUUCCACCAAUUCAUUCAGCCACUAGAUGCAGAUGAUUGGCUCUGAAGUAUCCACAACAAGAUGUCUUAUGGAAACGUGGUUGAAGGAGACAAGGUUACAUAUGCCAAGUAUCACCAUGAAGGUUCUGCUAGCCAAUGGUGGGAGAACUUCGACGUCAUGCGUCCUACGGGCCAAGUUACUUCAUGGGAGAAGUUCUGUGAGGUUUUUCGUGAGCAUCAUAUUUUGCAGGCCCUGAUAGAUCAUAAGAAAGAAGAGUUUUUCAAUCUGACUCAUGGCAAGAUGGUUGUCGAUGCUUAUAGUCAUGAAUUGGGAUGUCUUGCGUGUUAUGCACGUGAAAAAGUAUCCACGGAUGCCAAGAAGCAAGCUAGGUUCACGAAAGGUCUUAAACCCAAAGCUUCGUCAUGAUCUCAGUCUACAUGAGUUCAUUAGUUUCGAGGUUCUUCUCAACAAAGUCAUCCAAGCAGAAACAAGCAGAAUGACCUACUAGGAAUCUCGCAAGCACAACCGUGAUGUAGGAUCAUCUUCAAUAUCUAUAUUCCAGAAGCGCAUGAUAUCAAUUUCGAAUGCUGCUCUUCCUCCAAGAUAUGUACCGAGCCAUCCUAUGUGGCGCCUCGUCUGCCGAUGCCAAGUCUUCCCUAGAAGAACCUCAUCAACCAAGUGUUCAACCCAGAUCCACAUCCCAUUUAUGGAGCAUGCUUCAAGUGUAGCCAACCAAGACACUACUCAAGGGGUUGCGCUCUGCGUGGUUAUUUUCCACCCCCUUGAGGAAUGGGUGUUGUUCGUUGCAAGCCACCGACCAAGAAGUCUAAUGGAAGGUUAGUUGCUUUAACUCGUGCAUGUGUGCACCAUGUAUCUAUAGAAGAAGCUCAAGAUGAUGUUGAUGUCAUGAUUAAGAUGCUUCUUGUCAAUUAUCAUCCAGCUUCAGUUCUAUUUGACUCUGGAACAUCCCACUCCUUCAUCUCUGGAAAUUAUACCUCCUUGCAUAACAUUGAUUUCGAGGAUAUGCCUGCUCCAUUAGUAAUUCAAACUCCAGGUUCCAAAUGGAAAACUAAUGCAGUAAGCCAUGGGACUCAAAUCCUUGUCGUUGGUUCAAUAUUUGUUGCCUCCCUGAUAUCUCUCAAGACUUCUGACAUCAAUAUCAUUUUGGGGAUGGACUGGAUGACAACUCAUCAUACCAAAAUUGAUUGUUUCUUUAGGUCUGUUCGGCUGAAUCAUCCUUCUGGCCAGACAGUCAAUGUCUUGUGUGGUAUUCCAAAACGCGAGAUAUAUGCUCUCAAUGCAAAUCCUCUUACAUAUCUUGAAAACAACCCAGUACUCUGUGACUUUUCGGAUGUCUUUCCAGAAGAAUUGUCACAUGUUCCACCUCCCACAGAAGUAGAGUUUGUCAUUGAACUUAUUCCAGGAACCGCUCCAAUUGCUAGAAGACCCUAUAAUAUGUCUCCUCAAGAGCUAGCUAAGCUUAAAAUCCAACUCGAUGAAUCUUUGAAGAAAGGUUUCAUCCGUCCUAGUUCUUCUCCUCGGGCUUGUCCAGUCCUCUUCGUCAAGAAGAAGGAUGGUACGAAUCAAAUGUUGUGGAUUAUCGACCGGUUAAUCUCGUCAUGAUAAAUAACAAAUAUCUGCUCCCAAGGAUUAACAAUUUGUAUGAUCAGCUCGCUGGAAAUGUAGUGUUUUCCAAGAUGUCUUUGAGAUUAGGUUAUCAUCAAAUCAAAAUCAGGAAUGGGGACAUUCCCAAGACGACCUUCGUCGCUCGCUAUGUCCAAUACGAGUACACCGUCAUGUCCUCCGGUCUAACCAAUGACAUAGCCACCUUCUCUCGCUUAAUGAGUUCACACUUCAUGGAGUACUUGAACAAAUUCAUUGUGGUUUACCUCAAUGAUAUUCCGAUUUACUCAAAAAUCAAAGAAGAACAUGCUGAGCAUCUUAGGAUGGUAUUGAUGAAACUUCGAGACACUGCCUUUAUGCCAAAUUCUCUAAGUGCGAAUUCUAGUUGCUAGAAGUGACCUAUCUAGGUCACAUAAUCUCUGCAAAACGUGUUGUUGUCAAUCCCGAGAGAGUUCAAGCCAUUGUUGAUUUGACUCCAAAUGAAUCGGUAAAGCAAGUUAGGAGUUUCCUUGGCCUAGCGAGCUGCUAUCGCCACUUCGUUCAGAACUUCUCCAAAGUUGGCAAACCUCUAACUUAACUCCUCAAGAAAUAUAAGAAGUUGAGUGGUCCCCAUAGUGUCAGGAAAGUUUUCAGAAGUUGAAAAGACGACUGACUACUGCUCCGGUACCAGUCCCCCCGGAUUUUACAAAGGACUUUAUUAUCUACAUGCGUCAAGGACUUGGUUGCAUUGUUAUGCAAGAUCGUCCUGUUAUUGUCUAUGGUUCUUGAGAGUUACAUCCACAUGAGAAUAAUUAUCCAACACAUGAUGUGGAACUUGCCGCUGUAGUUCAUGCACUGUUAACCUGGAGACAUUACCUUCUCCGCAAUCGUUGCAAAAUAUACACUAAUCACCAGAGUCUCAAGUAUAUAUUCACCCAACCAGAUUUGAAUUUUACGGAAUACGUUGGGUUGAGUUGAUUACGGACUCCGACUUAGGAAUAUCUUACACCCCAGGAAAAGCCAGUGUCAUGGCUGAUGCACUAAGUCGUAAAUCCUAUUGUAAUAACCCCAUGUUUCUACAAAGUCAGCCACUUCUCCACGAGGAAUUUCGUAAGCUUAAUCUUCACAUUGUUACUCAAGAAUUCCUUUCCACCUUGGUGGCGAAACCUACUCUUGAGGAUCAGACCAUAAACCUACUCUUGAGGAUCAAAUCAUAGAAGCACAGAAGCAUGAUACGGGAAUUUCCCAGAUCAAGAGCAAUCUGCGAAAAUAGUUGUUGGUCCCUUCUCUAUAGAUGGUCAAGGUGUUGUAUUCUUUGAGAAUCGUUUGGUGGUUACCAAGAAGCAACAACUUCGAGAACUGAUCCUUAGAGAAGCUCAUGAAUCUCCUCUCAUUAUACAUCUCGAUAGUACUAAGAUGUAUGAGAACCUAUGCCAGAGGUUCUGGUGGAUCUAGAUGAAGAGAUAAAUCGCUUAACUCAUUGCUAACUUUGAUGUUUGUCAUUGCAUUAAGGUAGUGCAUCAAAGGCUUGCUGCCACUCUUCAGCCAUUGGCUAUUCCCGAGUGGAAAUGCGACAAGGUCGAUAUGGAUUUCACCAUCGGCUUUCCAAAGACUAACAAAGGGAAUGAUGCCAUCUUUGUGGUCAUAGAUCGCCUUUCCAAAGUUGAACAUUUCCUUGUAGUUCGAGAAAGUAUAACUGCUAGUCAGUUAGCAGACCUAUAUAUUUCUCGAAUAGUAUCUCUUCAUGGUGUUACUCUAGACGUCAAUUCACACCGUGGAAGUCUUUUCACCUCUCAAUUUUGGGAAAGUUUACAGAAUAUUAUGGGAACCCGUCUCUCCUUUAGCACUGCUUAUCACCCUUAGUCAAGUGGUCAAGUAGAAAGUGUCAAUUAAAAUCUCAAAGAUAUGCUCAGAUCCGGUGUUACCUUAUUUGAAAUUAAUUGUGAGAAAUGUCUUCCGUUCAUAGAAUUUGCUUAUAACAACAGUUUCCAGUCUAGUCUGGGCAAAGCUUCUUUCAAAGUUUUGUAAGGACGAAGAUGUUGAAUGCCAUUAAACUGGUCAGAAACAAGUGAAAUACAAUUCUUUGUACUGGAUAUGAUCCAGGAGGCAGAAGAGCAAGUCUGCAUCAUUCGUGAAAAUUUUAAAACCACCCAAUCUCGUCAAAAGAGCCAAUAUGAUUGUCGUCAUAAGGAAGUAAGUUAUGAAAUAGACGAGAAGGCUUAUCUUCGGGUUUCACUUCUAAAGGGUACCCAUCUGUGGGGACCCCGACUUAUGAGUCGAGAUCGCCGAAUGAACGUGCUCAGUGAUCCCAGAGAUCAAUGCUCACCGAACACAUAGAUACUGAAUAAUAAGAGUCUUACAUCCAUACAUAACGUUUGAUACAACAAAUGAGCUUAUCGGUCCGGUCUUACAUAUAUAGGGCCUUUAGGCCAACAAACCAAAGUGGACCAAUAGCGGAAUUAUUGGUCUAAAGCGUGAACCAUGCCAUCAGCCUUAACCUACACGCAUUCUGAUUGGGAAGCGUCCUAGCUCGCAGGAACGUCACCAAGUUAGUCUUCACCAGAACCUGCUCUCUCAUACCUGGUCAAUGAAAUAACCAAUCGCAAGCCAAUGAGUACUUUGAAUGUACUCGCAAACAGCCCAUGAUAUGAAAAAUGCAAGUGAAGAAUAACAAUAAUAUGCUUCUUUGGUGGAUAUCUUCUUGGUGGCAAAUAAACAUGAUCAUGGGUAUGCAUCAUAAGUUAAAAGCUACUUUUGAAGAACAGGUUACAAAUAUCAAUAUAUCUGUCAAGGGCUGAACCAUCCGGGUUCACCCUAUAUGCCAAGUCACCAAACUUGGUCGUAUCAACUGUUUCAUAAAACACUAUUUAACACAUACUAACACACACACACUUGGUUUAUGCGGAAACGAGUGGACGUAGUUUAAGUUGGAUUACCCAACUGGUAUUGACCGUGGACACGUCUAUUCGAAUAGUUUUACACUCUGAGAGGUAGUACGCUGGACCCACGAGAUUCGGGAAACUUCCGUGUCAUCCACGACUCGCGGUAUAUAACAUACCCGAGGUAAGUACCCAAUAAAUGCCUUCCCCUUGAUGAUAGGAGACAAAGAGUUCCACUCGAUUGGUACCCAGCCCACAUGUUGUAUGUCUUACAAGCACUGACUCUGGAUAGUAUCAUUCAUGCGUGGACCAACUGUGUGCCUGGAAUACGUAAAAACGGCAUAGUCACCCUACUUUGCACAACCCCAUCACGAGAGUGACCACACAUCACUCCCGCCACUAGUAAUGUGGUCUUUGCUAGCACCGACUAGAGUAAUCAACGCAGCCCCGUCCCAUAAAGGGGUAACAUGCUCGUACAUGUAAGGUUGGGAUGGUCGACACAUCAUAAAUCUAAUCCCAUUUCCGAAACCAUACUCACUCAAAAUAACCAGUGCACCACUUUUCGAAAUGUGGCCACCUAACUCAUCAUCACCCUGAGGCACUAGUGGCAUCCGACGGGGUUUUCAUAAACCUUUGAUUUAUGUCAUCAUCAAGCUCAUGCUAAUACUACUCUAAAUUUACUUGUCAGGCAUGCAUCAUAACAUAUGCUUAGACAUAUGCUUAGACAUGGUUAAAGGGCCGCUUGCGUUGCUCACAUAAGUCCUCGGGGUCUUCGAGGUCUUCCGCUCCAACUCCGAGUACUCCGUCUACCCGUCAACUAUCGUCGGAAACAAUCACAGUAAGCCACACAUCAUGCAAAACAAAACUGCUACAAAAAUAGUAGUUAUAUUUUUCUUGGACCUCUCUGGUCAUAAUAAAAAUACCUGAAGCUUGUCGUAGGAGAUUUGAAUCAUCAAGGAUUUUUGAAUGUAUGAGAAGAGGAAUAGGGGAUCCUUUACGAAGCCCACAGAAAAUAUUAUGAUAAAAAUGAGUGGAGGCACUCAUUUGACAAAGAAUAAUUGUAGAAAUAUUUAGGAAGUUGUUUCACUGGAUUUGGAGUUGAAAUGAAUAUUCUAUGGAUUUCUAAUACUAGAUAAAUAGCAAUAGGAAGCUAUUUAUUUAAUGCUACAGAAUAAAGCCUGAUAAAAAUGUUGACCAAGGCUUCAAAAAUAGGGNNNNNNNNNNGUAUAAUAAGGCUCUCGAAAUUGGAAUCACUCCAUUUGGAGUUGAUGAGGAUCCUCCAGGAAUUUCAUAAUGUGGGCUUAAUAUAUUCAAAUAUGUAUUUCAAAAAUAAUACCAUAGAAAGGUUGCUUUGAAAAAUGUGCAAAGCACAUAUUCGGAUAGCCCUUGAUUUUAGGAACCUGCAGGAAUUUGAAUCAAGCAAGUUGGAGUUAAAAUGAAUUUGCUAUUGAUUUAUGAAGUUUUCUGAUAAAAAAAGGGAAAGAGGGCCUCCGGAGUUGGGCUAUCCUCUGCACUCGGCGCUGGAUAGAGAUGGGCCUGCCUAGUGGCUCGGGGUGGCUAGUGGACUGCCCAUGCCGAAGGCGUAUUCCGUCAGGUACGCUUCCCUGGCGCGGAAGCAACUUCGGGCCAGACCGUCUCCACUUACGAGCCAACCCAACUCACGUUUCACCAACCCGUGGGGCCCGCGGACCAGGCUUGUCUUCCUCCUCCCACUCGAUCAGAGUGGGAGCAGGAGAGGCAGGGCCAGCCGGCGCAAGGGCUUGCCCCCGACAGCACCAGCCACCUCUAGUGGUGGUCUGACCACCACCGCGCUCGGGGCGACGAACCACAGGCGUGGGGCCGCCCCCCAGGCCCUGGGAACGCCGAUAUCUGGCACGACGUCGGCCGAGGCGGCUGCACGUGACGUAGGAGUUGCAUGGCGACCUACGCACGCAGAGAAGGGGAGGAAUCAUGGGGAACGGAUGGAGUGAGGCAGGGGCGCUCUUGUGGGAUCCUCGGGGUAUGGAGAGGCCAUAGUGGCCGAACUGGAGAGGAGCCUGACACGGAGGUUUCGGCCAUGGGGGAGGAAAGGGGCAUGGGAGGAGAAAUGGGGGAGUCUGGAGGUUCAAGGAGAGAGGGGAAACGAGAGAAAGAUAGUGAGGGUUCAGGGGAGAGGUAUAGUCGAAGUACUACGAGGGUAGCUCGGAUCCGCCUCUGGUGGUCACUAGCACGGCCGGCACACACGGCCUGAGCGGCUUGGAGUCUACCUGGCAUCAUGAAGGGGGUCAAGGAUACUCUGCUGCGCUCUGGGACAAGCUCCCCUCGCUGGACCCAAGCUGCUGCUAGAUCCCAAGGUGCAGAGCACCGUUUCAGCAUGCCAGGGAAGUGGUCACCACCACUUCUACGUGUCCAAAGCCACCCCUGACCAUAGAAAGGUGUCAAACAUGCAAGGCAUGCAUGCCACAGUGCACUGGUAGAGCUUGGACAGAUAUGCGGCUAGUUUGAAUUGGUUUUGACUGAGGUUAACAUUCCAGGAGGAAACUAAGGGCUGAUAAAAGUGGUUUUCACAAGAAGGGAAUUGAGGUGAAACCUUGUCUACCAGUCUUACACAUGGAAGGACUACAAAAAUGCCAAGUUUGAGAUCAGGCAGAGGUGUGUAGCUAGUACUUGUUGUACAAGGCUACAUUUCUGGCAUAAAUCAACUUGUAGAUGUGCUGCUCAUUUUUCCUACAUGAGCAUGCCAUCUAUUGGUUGGACAUGAUGCCUUGGGAUGCUAGGGGUCCAUUGGAAAGAGAUGGGGGCUUUGGCUUAAGCAGAAGUGGGGCAAGAGGGGUGAAGAUGGUGAUUCCAAGGGUAAAAUGAGGAAUGGUUACAUGGAGCCUCUCUCCAAUAAUAGAACAGUGGCCAUGGAAAUGUUACUGGAGGUAAGAUGUCACUAUAUGAAGCUGUGGUAGAAAGUUGAGCUCAAGGGUUAAAGUGGAAGGGGCCAAAGUAGCCAAUAAAGUGAAAGCACAUAAGGUGUUUGAUGAGUGGAAGAGCAACUAGAUGAACUUCAAUGGAUACGAAACUUAACAGGAUCAACUAAUAGAUGAAAAUAAGCUUGGACAACACAUUUGGGAUUCGGUGGAGAAGGUUUCCAAUGUAGACUUGGAAAACCCAUGAAAUGGGCAGAAAUGGCCUUCUGCUUACAAAGAUGUUCAUAUCAAUUCCCACAAAUCCAAUAUUUGGUGUGGGGACAUUAUUUGAGCACUGAAGCAUGCCCAAAAUGUUUGGGGUCAAUUGGAGAAACUUUAUAAUGUAAAGUUUCCCAAAGUCAGAAAUCAACAGAGAGGGUUUUGAGGGGCUUGGGACAAGUUCUUCUAUUAUCCUUUAUGCACCACUUGGUGUGGAUGCAUUAUUCGAGUAUCAGAACAUGUCCACCAAAUUUGUGCACAAUUGGAGACACUUGACACUGUAGAGUGGCUCAAAUUUGGAUGUGGACAGAUAGGGUUUUAGAAUAAUUAGGGGAGUCAAAUCAACUUGGAUUGAGAUGAAACUUGGCAAGAUCAUCAAACAUAUCAUAGGUGACAUUCUGGAAUUUUACUGGAAUUUAUUGAGAAUAUUUCUUAUAGAAAUAUUCCAAAAGCUUGAAAUAGUCAGGAAAGGUUUUGAAGGGGUUUGCCCAAUAUUUUGAACAUGACCAUGUGUUGAAACUCAUAUAUAUGGAAUAUAUAUGCUCACUGAGUUUCCCUAAAUUUUCUCAAAUAUUUUGAAAGCAAUAAAAUUAACUUGCCUUCAAAAGAGACCUCUUCUCUCCUCAUAGAAAGGCAUUUAACUAAAAUAAUAAAAUAACUUUUAAAAUAAUAAUAUUAUGGUUUUUGGAAUACAUUUGAUAAUAGUUUGUAAAUAAAAUAAUUGGUGCAAAAUAAAUUCCCUAAUUUGAGGACUUGUAGUACAAACCUCAUCUCAGGGGUUUUGAAGGCUUAAUUCAAAGAAAUGCAUUUUGGUGAAAAUAACAUUUGGUAAAAAUAGUUUCUGGUCCUAAACAGAUGGCAUGAUCAUUAGGACGGACUUUUGUGCUAUGGAGGUGAGUCUGGAGUGUAACAAGAAUUACUAGGAAACAACCACAUGGAUACAAGCAAGCAAGCAACAACACUCACUUCAAGCAUCACAAGUAGUCACAUUUUUUUUAAUUGGUCCUAAUUUUUGAAAUAAGUUAAUUAGUCAGGAAAGCUAAACACAGGGUGUUACAGACCUUACCCCCUUAAGAAAAAUCUCGUCCCCGCAAUUUCUUGGCUAGGGGUUCGAGAGAUACAAAAUCUUGAGUCAUAGGUAGUCUUCAUGUCCCCAUGUUGCUGUUGAGGGUCGUGAUGUGCUUGAUGAUACAACUUCAAAUGCUUCGCACGUCCUUGCCUGACUGAGCGGGUUGUGGCAAUAAGUUAGGCUUGACCGAGGGUCGAGGCUUGGUGAACUAAGUUCGUGCAAGGUUUUGGCUUGCAAGUGCAUUCCGAGGUCGGAAUACGUGGCAAGAUAGUGCGUCUGGCUUCUGGUCCCGGGGCUUCGCAUGCCGGUUAGUGACAUCUAGAUGUCUUGCGUUAGAACAUAAGGGUCAAGGCCUUCGCAUAGCUCCCUGUUGUUGGAAAAGUCAUUGACUCCCUUAAGGCAUGCAAGCGAUGGUCGCAGGUGAUCUUCAUCCUCGAGGGUGUUGCAGUGGUCUUCGAAAGCUUCUCGCCAAAGGGUCUGGGUUGGGUCUCACCCAUGAGUCUAAGCUUGGAGACUCAGAGUCCAGAAUAGGACCUGUCAUCUCGGAGGGUUUGCGAGGGCUUUUGGAUGAGCUGGCUACCCAAGAGUAUAGACCAGUCGUCCACUCCCAAGGUCAGCGGCUCGGCAACUGGGUGAAUCACCUUUAGCACGCUUCCACCAUAAUCGAGUUGAGAAUCUCGUACUUGAUUUCGACCAAGAAGAAGUCAUCUGAUUCUCUCGUUUGUCCAAAGGCUUCAUCGUCUUGAAUCGUCGAGGCUUCGUGACGUUGUUGAUGUAGUCGGUGCACGAUUGGUAGUUGGCUUCUAUUGCUUCUUCGUCAUUGUCGUGGCUUCCCAACCAUGGCGGUUCUUCGUCUUGACUUGAGUAGGAUAGACUAUCGCUGUCUUGGGGUUGCUUCGAGAAGCCCACCUUCUCGAGAUAACACUGUACCCUCGAGAGGCAUAGCGAUCGGCGUUCCUGGGGCUCGUCCAAACAGGACUAAGGUGUUCCACCUCUUAUUGGGUGAAUAAGUAUGUCAUCAGUGAGGAUGACAACAUAUUUUCCCCAAGCAUGACAUAAGCACAGUGCUCAUGAGACAGGUGAGGAGAACGGGGACUUGCUAUGGGUGGUCGCUGGCCGAAGGUUUGUGGUCCAACAUGACCUAGUCCUUCAUGCCCAUGUUNNNNNNNNNNNNNNNNNNNNNNNNNNNNNNNNNNNNNNNNNNNNNNNNNNNNNNNNNNNNNNNNNNNNNNNNNNNNNNNNNNNNNNNNNNNNNNNNNNNNUCCUGCUAGUCUUGUCUUACCUUAGCGGUAUAUCUUGCGUAUAGGAAUCUCGGUGAAGCUUUGGUUCUCCCCACAGUUGAGGUUUUCCUCUAAGGAAUCCGACGAGAUCACGAGAUUCAUGGUAGAGGAUUACUUUGCGGCCCGUGACCAUUUGUGAUGGACUAGAUGGAGCACCCCUGCAGGGUUUAAUCUUUCGGAAAGCCAUGCCCACGGUUAUGUGACAACUUGGAAUAUUUGUUAACAUCCAGUUAUAGAUAACUUGAACUAAUCGAAUAAAAUUGCCAACUGUGUGCGUAACCGUGACUGUCCCCUUCGAAGACCGCUCUUCGAUCGGGAACACGGUGGUGUUAUGAUUGACGUAAGUAGGUAUUCAGGAUCACUUAGUGAUCAGCUAGGCAUCGAUCGCUAGUAUAGACCACCUUCAAUACAUGUUCUACGUAAGUUAGCAGCCAUAAAUGCUUAGGAUGCUGCAACCUAAACACUGAACCUUUCCUUACCUAAUAACUUGACUAGUUCUGGCACCGAGGUCAUAGAUUGCUGAGUCCCCGUGUCUCACAUAUUACUUCAACACACCAACAGGUACAGGUAAGCCCGACAUAGGUGAUCCGACGGCACGCAGCUGGCAUGGCAGUACGAUGAGGAGACCGGCCCCUUGUACGUGAACUAUCCAGAAGACUGAAGCGUGGUCGUGAUCGUGGGCAAGCACGCGCGGUAGCAUAGCCUUUUUCUCAUGUUAUGUAGUCUGUAGCGGAACUACCUUGUUUGUAUGCGUGGUGUNNNNNNNNNNNNNNNNNNNNNNNNNNNNNNNNNNNNNNNNNNNNNNNNNNNNNNNNNNNNNNNNNNNNNNNNNNNNNNNNNNNNNNNNNNNNNNNNNNNNUACAUAAUUUCUUGGUAUAAGGUAAAGGUAAUUGCACUCACACUAGAACCCACAUCACAUAAGCCAUGAUAACAAUGAUCUCCUAUUUUAACAGAAACAACACGCACGCCAACAAUAGGUCUAUGUUUACCCUUAGUAUGAGGUCUAGCAAUUCUAGCGGAUUCAUCACAGAAGUGAAUGACAUGCCCAUCAAUAUUAUAAACCAAGAGAUCUUUAACCAUAGCAAUAUUAGGUUCAACUUUAAUUUGUUCAGGAGGUAUAGGUGUCCUAGCAUAACUCUUAUGAACCACAGCUGAAGCUUUAGCAUGUUCUUUUAUCCUAACAGGAAAGGGUGGUUUCUCAGCAUUGUAAAUAACAGUUUCUUCUUCAAAUUUAAUAGGUUCUACCAAUUUAAAUUCAAUGGGAGGAUGAUAUUUAAACCACUUCUCCUUGGGGAUAUCAACACGAGUAGCAAAAUAUUCACAAAAUCAAGCUACUACCUCAGGGCCAAGUCCGUAUUUAGUGCUAAAAUCAUGAAAAGUAUCGGUGUCUAUAAAGGAUUUAACAGAAUCAAACUUAGGGCUUAUACCUGACUCAUUACCUUUGUUGAGUUCCCAAUCUUCAGAGUUGUGUUUAAUUCCUUCCAAUAAUUCCCAUUUGAAUUCAAUAUCUUCCUUCAUAAAGGAACCAGCACAAGAAGUGUCGAGCAUGGAUUGAUCAUUACGAGUGAGCCGAGCAUAAAAAUUCUGAAUAAUAAUUUCUCACAGAAUCUCAUGAUUGGGGCAUGAAUAUAACAUUGACUUAAGCCUCCCCCAAGCUUGACCAAUUCUUUAUACUUCACGAGGCCAAAAAUUAUAAAUAUAAUUCCGAUCAUGAUGAACCAGAUGCAUAGGAUAAAACUUCUGAUGAAAUUCCAAUUUCAAUCGGUUGUAGUUCCAUGAUCCAAUAUCAUCACAUAGCCUAUACCAUGUCAACACCUUUUCCUUAAAAGAUAAAAGAAAGACCUUCUUCUUGACAUCAUCCUAUGGCAGACUUGCAAGCUUAAAUAAUCCACAAACUUCACCCACAUAGAUUAGGUGCAAAUCAGGAUAUAGUGUUCCAUCUCCUGCAUAAGGAUUAGCUAGCAGUUUUUCUAUCAUACCCGAAUGAAUUUCAUAAUAAAUAUUUUCAGUAGGUGCAACAGGUUGAUGAGCAUCUCUUUUUUCUUACGGUCGGGGUGAAGAUACCCCGAACAAGCUCCUCAAAGGAUUAUUUUCCAUAGUGACAAGUGACAGUAAAUUUCAGCACAGUAUAUAAAAUUUUCCUUACCAAGUUCCACUUACCAAAGGUGCUUCACUCUCUGGCAAUGACACUAGAAAAGAGUCUUGAUGACCCACAAGUAUAGGGGAUCUAUCGUAGUCCUUUCGAUAAUUAAGAGUGUCGAACCCAACGAGGAGCAUAAGGAAAUGACAAGCGGUUUUCAGUAAAGUAUUCUCUGCAAGCACUGAAAUUAUCGAUAAUAGAUAGUUUUGUGAUAAGGUAAUUUGUAAUGAGUAACAAGUAACAAUUGUAACAAAGGUGCAGCAAGGUGGCCCAAUCAUUUUUGUAUCAAAGGACAAGCCUGGACAAACUCUUAANNNNNNNNNNNNNNNNNNNNNNNNNNNNNNNNNNNNNNNNNNNNNNNNNNNNNNNNNNNNNNNNNNNNNNNNNNNNNNNNNNNNNNNNNNNNNNNNNNNNNNNNNNNNNNNAAAGCGCUCCCGAGGACACAUGGCAAUUUAUGUCAAGCUAGUUUUCAUCAUGCUCAUAUGAUUCAUGUUCGUUACUUUGAUAAUUUGAUAUGUGGGUGGACCGGUGCUUGGGUGAUGCCCUUACUUGAAAAAACCUCCCACUUAAGACUAACCUCUCUCGCAAGCACCGGCAACUACGAAAUAGGAACUAAGAUAAAUUUAACCAUACCAUUAAACAUAUGGAUCCAAAUCAGCCCUUACGAAGCAACGCAUAAACUAGGGUUUAAGCUUCUGUCACUCUAGCAACCUAUCAUCUACUUAUUACUUCCCAAUGCCUUCCUCUAGGCCCAAAUAAUGGUGAAGUGUCAUGUAGUCGACGUUCACAUGACACCACUAGAGAAGAGACAACAUAUAACUUAUCAAAAUAUCGAACGAAUACCAAAUUCACAUGAUUACUUAUAACAAGACUUAUCACAUGUCCCCAGGAACAAACGUAACUACUCACAAAGCAUAUUAAUUUUCAUAAUCAUAGGAGUAUUAAUAAUCAUUAAGGAUCUGAACAUAUAAUGUUCCACGAAAUAAACCAACUAGCAUCAACUACAAGGAGUAAUCAACACUACUAACAACCCACAUGUACCAAUCUGAGGUUUUGAGACAAAGAUCAGAUACAAGAGAUGAACUAGGAAUUGGAGAGGAGAUGCUUCUGAUGAAGAUGUUGAUGAAGAUUGACCCUCUCUUGAUGAGAGGAUCGUUGGUGAUGACGAUGGCUUCGAUUUCCCCCUCCAGGAGGGAAGUUUCCCCGGUGGAAUAGCUCCGUCGAAGCUCUAGAUUGGUUAUGUCGAAGUUCCACCUUGAGACGGCGGCGUCGCGUCUCGAAAGCUCUGAUAUGAUUUUUUCAGCUCAAACCCUUGAUAUAGCAGAAGAUGGGCACCGAAGGCCUACCAGGGGCCCACAAGCCAGCAGGGCGCGGCCAGGGGUUAGGCCGCGCCCCGUGGGCUUGUGACCUCCUCGUGGGUCCCCUCCGGUACUUAUUUCGCCUAUUAUUUUUUAUAUAUUCCAAAACAAUACUCCGUAACUUUUCAGGACUUUUGGAGCUAUGAUAAUAGAACUAGUAGGGAAAACCUUAUAGGUAGGAGCCUAGUAGUAGCGCUGGAAAAUACCACACGNNNNNNNNNNNNNNNNNNNNNNNNNNNNNNNNNNNNNNNNNNNNNNNNNNNNNNNNNNNNNNNNNNNNNNNNNNNNNNNNNNNNNNNNNNNNNNNNNNNNCUGCAUCACGUAGUACACUGAGGACUGGUUCCAUGCAGGGAAUUUCUUCAAGGUCAGCAUGAGGAAUGUGCCUGUGCUGGAAUAUCUUGUUGCGGCCACAGAGCACAGAAGCAUAGUAGUUCAUCUGCGUUCUUGUCCAAAACUUCAGAUGCCGCAUUUGAGGCUUGUCAUAAGGAUUCUCUCUGAUGAAAUACAUGCGUUCCUCAAAGAAAUUUUCUUUCUGAAACUUUGGCCUCUUCGAGAAUGGCAGGCACUGAACUGGAUUGAGAUUUUGCUGAGGAAUGGGAGGGGAAACAACCAUGGCAGAUUCUGGGUUGAGGACAAUGAACUCAUUGUCAAGAGCGGGAACAUUUUCUUCAGCAAUUUCCUCAGGAUGAGGAAUUUUUUGUUCUAGCUGAGCAUCAGGCUGAGGAAUUUCUUCAUCCUUCUCAGCUUGAGGAGUUUGAUCAGCUUGUUCAGUGGGAGGAGCCUGCUCAGACUGGACAUUUUCUUCAGCUUGAUUUUCAUCAGCUGACUUUGUGGUAGAAGCAGAUUCAUCAGCUGCUGCAGCUGAGGCUUCAGUAGUCUCUUUCUGNNNNNNNNNNNNNNNNNNNNNNNNNNNNNNNNNNNNNNNNNNNNNNNNNNNNNNNNNNNNNNNNNNNNNNNNNNNNNNNNNNNNNNNNNNNNNNNNNNNNUUGAAUAACAAAAAUUAAGGGGAUUUUUUAUAAAAAUGGCAUGGUGAGUUUUCCGACGGAAGCAAUAGCCGUUUUAUUAUUAGGUAUAGAUGGUUUGUGUGAAGUGUCCGUUGACUAAGUUUGCACCUUCCCUUUCUUCGACUCGUAUGCCUGCCCGAUUGCAUCCCAGUAUGCAGGCAUCGCCUCGGAGUCGAGAACUUCUUUGAAUGAAGGAAGAUAGUUUAGGUCCACUAUGACAUGGUCUCCACUACCCUCUUGAACCUGCAUAUUCAAAAUGCUAGGUUUUACAGCUGAAGUAGAAUGUGCAACAUGAAAAGAUAAUGGUGACUGGAAGUGUUGAAGACUUACAGUGGGAAAAGGUUACUCUCUUUGUAGCUGCACUGAAUUCUAAAAGCAUAAUCCAUACAUGAAGAAAUACUUACAACAACAAAAGGUCCCGACGUUGCAAGGAGAGCACACAUGUGAGGGUGUUCAGGACCUACAUCAUCAACAUGCCACUGUUAACUAGGUGGCUAGGUCUGUUGAGGCAAGGCUGAGAGAUAAUCCGCAGAUUAAGCCAAAAGAGAUAUUGCAGGAUAUUCGGGACUAGCAUGGGGUUGCUGUGUCUUAUAUGCAGGCAUGGCGCGGAAAGGAGAGNNNNNNNNNNNNNNNNNNNNNNNNNNNNNNNNNNNNNNNNNNNNNNNNNNNNNNNNNNNNNNNNNNNNNNNNNNNNNNNNNNNNNNNNNNNNNNNNNNNNAACAAAGAGGGUGACACAACUAAGGGCUCAAAUAUAAUUGUUUCUUAAAUAACUCAAGGCUUAGAGGAUGCGACGUGUUAUUACCCACUAUGAAUGUAUUAUCAUAGACUAGUAACAUGUACAUAUUACUAGUUUAAGCUAUUUUCCACUGUGAUCAGCCUUAGAGAAAAACAGCAGAUCUGCAUUAACAUAUUUAAUUAGAUACGAAUAGUAACAUGACAUUUACACAUUAAAAGUACACAACUCUAUGUAGCCAAUCAAGCAUAACCAAUCGCCAACCAAUCCCUACAUUUACAUACUGCAUCAAAUUGGAAUGGAAGAAAAAAUAGUAGUGAGAACCUAAAGUUAAUUAGGUGAAAAAUGCAAGGUAGUGAAUCGCGGCAAUAUAUUCUAUAAAUUCGAUGGAAUAAGAUGCACACAAGAAAUCAGCAAUAGGUAGUGGGAAUUUUGGGUUCUCACUAGUAAUGUCACUGCGGAGCCGCCCCGCCUACUGUUGCACGGUGCGGAGGGCACCUUGGCAACUGCUGAUAGCGUCAGUGGAGCCCUCGCGGCGACCUUGCCCCUACCGGCGUUGGCGGAGCAAUCGCUAAGCGACCNNNNNNNNNNNNNNNNNNNNNNNNNNNNNNNNNNNNNNNNNNNNNNNNNNNNNNNNNNNNNNNNNNNNNNNNNNNNNNNNNNNNNNNNNNNNNNNNNNNNGGAAGCUCGAGAAGAAGUUUGAAGGUCUGGAACUUCACCAUGUUCCCCGACUGAAAAACCAAGCGGCAGUUGAAUUGGCGAAACUUGGAUCCACUCGGAGACCGGUCCCGAGUGAUGUCUGCCUCGAGCACCUACACCUCCCCUCAGUAAAAGAAGAUCCUUUUACAGAGGGACCGGUACAACCGAAGAGCUCAACAGAUCCGAUUGAAAUCGAGGUCCCUCUGUGGUUGAUUUGAUCAUGGAGAUUCUUGCUCUCAUCCCCGAAUGGACUGUGUCGUUCAUUGCGUACAUCCUGAGGCAAGAGUUACCAGAAGACGAAGUUCAAGCUAGGCAGAUCGUCCGCAGAUCGAAGUCCUUCACCGUCAUUGAUGGCCAGUUGUACAAAGAAAGUGUUUCAGGCGUCCUUCAGCGGUGCAUCUCCCCUGAGGAGGGACAGUUAAUCUUGGAAGAAAUUCACUCAGGAACAUGCGACCAUCAUGCCUCCUCAAGAGCAAUCGUCGCCAAAGCAUUCAGAGCUGGUUUCUUCUGGUUGCAAGCGAAUGAAAUGGCAAAAGAUAUGGUCGACCGAUGCGAAGGCUGUCAGUUCUAUUCGAACAAGUCCCACAAGCCAACAUCUGCGCUGAAGACAAUCCCUCUUGUUUGGCCGUUCGUCGUGUGGGGAUUAGAUACAAUCGGACCAUUCAGAACAGGCCAAGGGGGAUUCACUCAUCUGCUGGUAGCAGUCGACAAGUUCACCAAGUGGAUUGAAGCCAAGCCCAUCAANNNNNNNNNNNNNNNNNNNNNNNNNNNNNNNNNNNNNNNNNNNNNNNNNNNNNNNNNNNNNNNNNNNNNNNNNNNNNNNNNNNNNNNNNNNNNNNNNNNNAAUAAACAGCGCAAAAAAUUACAAAUAAAAUGUAAUUUAUCACAACAAAAAUGUUUUCCUUUUAAAUAAAAUCUUGAUUUUUUAUUUCAGAAAACACCUUCUAAAAAAACCGUGCUUGCUGAUAAAAAAUACGCGUGGCAUCGCGCCGGAAGUCCACGACAGUGUAGUCAGCGUCGGGGUGUACCCUGCCGAUCAAGGGGAUCACGGGGAGGCUGUCGUGGACUGGAUCUUGUCCGAGUUGAUAGACGGCUAUUAUUUAUGUCCGAGUUGACAGAUGGCUAUUAUUUAUAGUUAUAGCCUGCAUGUGGAUAUGUAGUUGUUGUUCACUUUAGAUACACUUUCGGAAUAUGGCCAUGCAUAGGGUGCAUGCGACGAAGCAUAUGACCAGUACGAGUCCAAAUCCUAUUUAGAUUCCUACGUAGGUCCAAAACCUACUUGGUAGCAGGCACAGUUGGUGCUACAGAUAAUUUGCCAGUCAAGCGUGUCUGUAUACGAAUCAGAUUAUAUUGUACAACGACUCCAAGUCCUAUUUAGAUUCCUAAAGAAGUCCAAAACCUACUUAGGGACAGCCACGGUUGGUUCUACAAAUACUAUCUCCAGGUGAUUGUUAUCUUACACAAUCCCAAGCCUUUGGUUCAAUCAACAUCUCAAUUUCACACGUCGCCCUGUAGUACUUGCCUUCGUCANNNNNNNNNNNNNNNNNNNNNNNNNNNNNNNNNNNNNNNNNNNNNNNNNNNNNNNNNNNNNNNNNNNNNNNNNNNNNNNNNNNNNNNNNNNNNNNNNNNNAGUCUUCGAGGGAUGCUUGGAUCUGGUCAUUUUCCCAGAUUCACAUGCACCGCAGAGAUGAUCCUUGAGGAAUUUGACUGAUUUGAUGCCGAUGACAUGCUUCUUCUUUGCGAGCGUGUGCAAAUUCCUCAUGCCUGCAUGACCGAGUCUUCGAUGCCACAACCACCCUUCUGAGGUUUUUGCUAGUAAGCAAGUGGCUGGAUGAGGACCUGUAGAGAAAUCAACAAUGUACAAAUCCCCUCUUCUGACACCUUCGAAGACUUUGGAUUUGUCAGAUUCCAUGAUCACAACACAUCUAUAUCUACCAAAGAUAACAAUCAUAUCAAGAUCACAAAGCACCGAUACUGACACGAGGUUAAAUCCAAGGGAUUCAACAAGCAUCACUUUGUCCAUAUGCCUAUCCUUGGAAAUAGCCACUUUGUCAAGUCCCAAUACCUUGCUUUUACCUUUGUCAGCAUAUGUGAUUUGCUUCAGAGGUGAUGGAAUUAGUGGCAUAUUCACCAGCAAUCUUUUAUCACCAGUCAUGUGAUGUGUGCAGCCACUAUCAAGAACCCACUCAGUACUCUUGGGUUUGUCAUCCUGCACAUGAAUUAGUACAGCUUACCAUCUCACAUGCUUCAGAUUUGAAGAAUAUGAUAUCAAUUUCAUCAGAUAGGAAUUUCAUCAUAACUGAAUUAUAAGGACGUGUUAAAUAUUUCUAUUUGUAAGUGCAUCUAGUGCCCCUUAGUGAUUUUGGUGGUUUGAAGACUUAUAGGUUAAGUAUCUAAUGUGUUUUUAAGUGUACACAAGAUCUAUAAGUCAUUGAGAAGUUUGAGAUAUUUGAAGAAUAUCGACCCCUAAAAAUAUAUGUCUUCAGUUGAAGAAAUUGGUCUGAAGCUGAAGAAAUGAAUCGCGAAGAAUUUGCGAUGAAAUGGAUAUUCCUCAUGAAGAUAUUGAUAUUGAGAAGAUCGGUGGUUCCUGAAGAAAAUCGUUCUGAAGAAAUUGAAGCAUGAAGAUUUUCGUUUUCUAUUUUACUUUCUUCGCAUUUGAUGAAUAGGAACACCGUAGUGUUAAAGGGGGUCAAAGUAACACUAUGGAAUGGGUUUCCUCAUGAUGCUCAACCCAAGCCAAAUCCUACCAAAAGCCUCAAGUGAGGAAUAUGAGUAACAUGAGGACUCUCACAGUUGAGAGUCCCGACCGUUUCGAUAAGCCACGCCAAGUCACUGAUCUUAUCCACUCCAACGGUCAUAUUAUUUAAGGGCAUUAAUGUCAAAUCAUGUCGGGAUGCUCCNNNNNNNNNNNNNNNNNNNNNNNNNNNNNNNNNNNNNNNNNNNNNNNNNNNNNNNNNNNNNNNNNNNNNNNNNNNNNNNNNNNNNNNNNNNNNNNNNNNNUAUAGCAUAGAGGGAAAAAGGGUCCGAUCACAUUCACUUAGCAGAAACAUCAACUUGAAGAAUUAGCAAUAAGUGAAUGUUGUUGAGGACUAGAAAUCACAGUCUACCUAGGCAAAUGAAAGUCAUCAAGUGUUUUUGAAGAUUUUGCAANNNNNNNNNNNNNNNNNNNNNNNNNNNNNNNNNNNNNNNNNNNNNNNNNNNNNNNNNNNNNNNNNNNNNNNNNNNNNNNNNNNNNNNNNNNNNNNNNNNNNNNNNNNNNNNNNNNNNNAGAUCAUCACAAUUAAGAACAGCUGUUUUGAUGAAAAAUGCAUUGUGAGGAAUUUGAUCAUUUGAAGAAAAUCAACUUGAGGAAUUUCACAUUGGGCGGUGGCGUUGCCCACCAUAUAAGAAUGUUGAUUACAGACGCCGCGUACAAUUGUCGUAGGGCCCUGAGAAUCAAUUUCUUCGUUAAUUUCUUCACAUUCAGAGUGAUUUUCUUCAUUGGUUGAAGAAAAUCAUUUCAUCAUGUGUUGCACAUCUAAGUCAUCAACUUUGCAUAAGUGUUAGGAUGUGUGCAUGUUUUUACAAAACAUUUGAAGACUCUAAGAUAUUUAGNNNNNNNNNNNNNNNNNNNNNNNNNNNNNNNNNNNNNNNNNNNNNNNNNNNNNNNNNNNNNNNNNNNNNNNNNNNNNNNNNNNNNNNNNNNNNNNNNNNNNNNNNNNNNNNNNNNNNNCGCAACUUGCAAAACCUUUUCUCAUCCAAGGGAUUAGUGAAGACAUCAGCCAGUUGAUCAUCAGUCUUCACAUGGUCGAUGAGGAUAUUGCCCUUGAGGACAUGGUCACGAAGAAAAUGAUGACGAAUUUGGAUGUGCUUGGUCUUCGAGUGCUGUACUGGGUUGUAGGCAAUCUUGAUAGCACUCUCAUUGUCACAGUAGAGAGGCACAUUCUUUAUGUUGAUGCCGUAGUCCUUGAGGGUUUGCUUCAUCCAUAGUAAUNNNNNNNNNNNNNNNNNNNNNNNNNNNNNNNNNNNNNNNNNNNNNNNNNNNNNNNNNNNNNNNNNNNNNNNNNNNNNNNNNNNNNNNNNNNNNNNNNNNNAUUUCAUGUGUAAAGAAUUCCAAUCAUUUGCUUUAUGUAAUAAAUAUACAAUUUUGCUGAUAAGGAUAAUUUUUUAUUUUGCAAAUGUAAGGGGAUUUCACAGAGGAACUAGCUAACUUCCACUAUUUUUUUCCAGCUAUACAGAUUGUUUCAGUUCAUGCACCAACAUACACCGCACUGAAGAAAACAACAAUAAAUGAAACAUCUCUAGUACAAUAUCAAGUCUGCUAUGAUAAUGUGGUGCCAUGACUCAGGAGCACCAGUUAAUGGUUUGAUACAUAAACUUUUACCUGCACACUUGACUCCUCGUCAUUAACACACGAAAUAAUCUCCACAAAGGCAUAUCUUGUAUCCGCAUUCCGACUUGAAGCACAAAGAUCACGGAUACUAUUGAUCACACGUUUGCGAACACUUACUCCAGUGUCCUUUGUCCGUUCAGUGAC
rnacentral:lncRNA from 1 species